rnacentral:lncRNA from 1 species
AUCCAAUCCCCACAUCAUUCGUCGUGGAAUGUAUAAGAGCCAUACAUGAUCAGACUCUAACGAGGAAAAACAAUCUACACCACCAUAAGUUUCUUGAUUGCUGACAAACAACUGGAUCUCACACAAAAUAUCAACUUCCUUACGAGUAGGUGAACUGACAAUAGCACAAAAGGCCAAGCCUGCUAUGUCUCGGUAUGAUUCUGAAAGUACAGGAAACCUUAUGAGUCUUGUCGUGCUUUGAUGUUUAAACCACCUUGGGAUUUUGUUUCCUGGAUGAAAAAUGUCAAUCCGAGUCUCUCCAAGCAAUCCCUGCCACGCGGAAUAUUUACACUUGAGACAGAAACAUGUGCGUGCAUGCCGAGAGAGAGAGAGAGAGAGAGAGAGAGAGAGAGAGAGAGACCUCAAUUGACAGCAUAGUGCAAUUGCUGGAGCAUCGAUCCUGAAUUAGCUUUUGACAGCCAGAGAAGUCAAUUCGUCUAAGCCAAGGUGAUUCAUCUGGAUUAUAUCGUAACACAUCUAACAAGUCCACACAUGUUUCCAAAGAUUCACAACCUUUUGCAUGUAAAGAUGUUAUGUUUGGGGGGAGAGCUAGAAUCUCUCGAAGCUGCUUGCAGUGCAUCAAACAAAGCUGCUGCAACUUAGUAAAUUGACUGAUGCAGGUAGGAAGACUGACAAAUUUGUUCUCCGACAGAUCUAACAUCGUCAAUGAGGACAUGCAGUGAAGAUUUUUCAAGAAACUAAGCUCUGAUAAGCUGCAUCUUUGCACAUUCAAAUUGAUAACGCUUGAGAGGGCUAACGGGAGAGAGACAUUGGUGCAAUCUCUUGAUCCCCAUACACAUUGCGGGAACUUGGUAAGUUGUGAGCAUCCAUCAACAAAAAUAUGCUCAAGAUGCUGCAGUGUAUAGAUGCUACAAGGAAGGUUUUUAAGGUCCAAACAAUCGCUUAAACACAACUCUUUCAGUUCGACAAGAUUUGCCAGAGAAGACGGUAGUUCUUCAAUGGCAGUCUCAUGAAGCGCAAGUGUUUUCAGACGUUUCAUUGGUACAAGAAUAUCUGGAAACCUUGAAAGCUUUGAGCAACCUCUAAGAAUAAGAUUUUCAAGAGAACUUGCCUUCAGACUAUUGGGGAAACGGCUAAGAUUGCAGCAGUUCAAAAAGUUCAAAUAUACGAGCUUGGCAAGACGCCCAAGAGACUGAUGAAUCUCAACAAGUUUGGUGCACUCUUGGAGAUCCAAACUCUCAAGAUUUGGCAGUGACGAUACGUCAGGAAUUUUUCUCAGUAAUACACAGUAGCUAAAAUUAACAGACCUCACAUUUCUAAAAAGCUGCACAAUAUAUAAUGAGAUAUAUAAGUAGUCUUUUCAAGAUCUUCACAGUUUUAUCUUCACAGAAGAAAAAAUUGCAAGUACGUACCUUGAAUUCCUUCCCUAAUAUGCGGAUGCUGCUUUUACUCAAGUCUAGGCCUACAAGUUUCCUGUCGCUUGUAUUGAACAGCACCGAUGGUUGAGAGUACUCAGGCCAUUCCAGCCAUCUUAAUUCCGCGGGAAAGUAUAUGGGAUCACCUGAAUGUUUUACAUUGGGAGCUAAGAAAAUUCUGAGCCUUGUCAUGUUUGUGAAGGCUUGAGCACUAAAGUGCACUGUAUCAGGAGCGGGCAACUUGAGCAUAAUUGCUUCUACUUUAUUAGUUCCCUGGCGGCACACACAUGAAUAGACAAUUUAAGUACAAAGGUGCCUAGGUUAUGUAAGGACCUAACUAGUAAUAAUAAAAAAAAAAGAUUUGGUGUGCUUUGAGCGCCUUUUUUUCUUAGCUUUCAGAUUUGCUUUUACUUUAGCAUUUGACUCAUGGGUUCUAUUAACACCUCAAUCAUGAAAAAAAAAAAAAACACAGUAAUUAUGCUCCUACAGAUUUUUUCAAUAUACUUUCUAGGGAGAGGUCAAUAGUACAAACCUUACAUAUGUGGAAAAGGUGAUUCUUAUGGGACCCUUAGCCAUUAUAUUGCUUAGCAAAAAAAUAUUCGCACCCCUUUUUAGAAGAAGGCCAAAAGUACUUCUUAAGCAGAUUUAACCCUACCAAAUAAGCAAACAUAUCGUCAAAAACAGAAGAUCAUGAUUCAAUUUAGUACCCUGCCUUCUGUUAGGACAUGAAGCACAUCCUUAUAGAAUCACAAUCUGCUGCGCUUCCCUGGCACUUUGGGAGAUUCCCUCCGAACAAUUUCUCUUCCCAUUUCUUGUAUCAUGUCAUGCAUCUCCAGCUUGCCAUACUCAAUAGUGAUGAGCGACUUAUCUAUAAGAACAGCAAUUCCAACGUCUGGGCAGAGAUCACAGCUCCCCAAAAUCUUUGUCACCUUACUUCUACUUUCUCCCUUGAAGAAACAUGCAAUGUCAAGAAAAAUAUCCUUGUCAUAAUCAUCUAGACUAUCAAAGCUUAUUCUCAGCACACUGAAGAUUUCUCCAUUGAAAACUCUCUCCAAUCUAUCUAAUGUGCUUUUCCAUUCAAGUAAGCUUCUACCUUGAAGGAAAGAACCCAAAAUUUUAAUGGCUAAUGGAAGUCCUUUGGUGUAAUCCACUAUGUCAUACGAAAGCUUUUCAUAAUCCAGAGGAGGAUAAUUUUGGAAAGCAAUCGAACUGAAGAGCUUAUGAGCUGGUAAACGAUCUAAUCGUCGAACCCUGUACAUGCUUUGUAUGUUAUGAGCAGUCAGUAAAUGUUCAUCUCUAGUUGUUAUGAUGAUUCUACUUCCACAACCAAACCAAUCACAUCCCCCAACUAGUUUUUCCAAUUGGAUCAAUUGGUUCACAUCGUCAAUGACAAUGAGGACCUUUUUUUUGGAAAGUCUACUCUUUAUCAUGCUCAUACCUUCGUCAACAUUGUGAAGCUUCAGACAAUCAUCCCACCUUACCUUAUAAAUAAGUGCCUCUUGAAGCCGAAGUAGGCCACUCUCUGCGAAUUUCUCGCAAGAUUCUCUAACGCUGGAAAGAAAUCUACAAUACUCAAAUUUGUGCACAAAGGCAUUGUAAGUAGCUUUGGCGAUAGUUGUCUUCCCUAUUCCUCCAAAUCCGCAAAUUCCGACUAUGCGAACCUCAUUCGAUUCCAUGUCUAGCAAAGUAUGCAUGUGGUCCACAUGCGAGUCCAUGGCAACCACGUUUUCAGGAAUGUGUAACUGGUUGCGAUUCUUCAGCUGAGCGCAUACUGCCUUGACAAUGCUCCGAAUGACAUUAGACUCGCGCCUAGUAGAUUCAAAGACAUUGGAUACAAAAAGUACUUAGCUGAUCUCAAAUAAAAUCAAACCGCGGUCAAUAUCCCACGCACAAUAGUGCAUAUUAAACUCAGUUUCAAGCAAUUGACAUCUAAAACAGAACUGGGCUAGUAGAGGGACAAGGACGUGGUCCACCUGCAUGUUUAUAUAAUCAACUCACGAUUUGCUUAGUCGCUCGUCAUGAUACGUAAGCUUUCCUGCUUCAAUCAGCGUGAAUUGAUUUUUCUCCCAUUUUAUGCAUAAGCAUUGCCAUGAAUCUAUUGCCAUGGUCUUUACCAAAAAAAAAAAAAAAAAUCUAUUGCCAUGGAAAUUAAAUUCCGUAACCAACAGUUUUUUUUUUUUUUUUUGCCACAGAACAAACAGUAGGCAUACUCAAAAAGGAUAAAAUGGUCGGCUUACUGCUUAACCAGAUGCCAGCCGGAGACGUUAGCUGCUUUGGUCAAAGCUUUUCUCCACCUCUUCACCUUCUCCGAAUCACCGCCGUUCGACUUCAACCUCUCCUCGUGAUCGUUUAGCGCUCGUCCGUACCUCCGCCUCAGCUUCCUCACAUCCGACGGAUCCACCUUGUAGAACACCGGCCACACGAUCUGCCCCAUCGUAUCCCUGCACUCCACGAUUCUCACCAGCUCGUCCAAGCACCAGCUAGAGGACGCGUAGUUCUCCGAGAACACGACGAUCGAGAUCCUCGACUCCCCGAUGGCUCGGAGGAUCGCCGGCGCGAUCUCCUCGCCCUUCCAGAGCUCCUCCUCGUCCAUGAACGCGGCGAUCCCACUCUGCUUCAGCUCCUCGUGGAGGUAGCUGGUGAAGCCGUUGCGUGUAUCCUCGCCACGGAAGCUCAGGAACACGUCGUAUCUGUAUGGACGGCUGCACUCCCCGAUGGCCUGCGUCAUCUUUUUGUCCUUCCGAAGCAUUCGCUUUUUCGUGAACGCCGGUAGCACCUUGUUUCUAUCUCCAUCGUCCCAAGGUAUCUGGGGAAUGGGUAACCUCGCAGGGCACCGUGAGGGACGGGAGGAGCGACCUCCUUCCAUCUCCAAACAGCAACCCGACUGGGAAUUGCCUUCGCCUGUUGGCCGGAAAAGGGGUCGACUCUCAAGGCCGGCCAGCUCGAGUUAAAUAGACCAAAAAUGAUGAAAUUUUCACCUAAUCCAAUCCGAGAAAAUAGUGGCCACGUACUCAAUACGUUAGUCCAUUCAAUGGACGACAAGUGGCACCGUGGGGCCCGCUCUGGCAGCAAGUCUCUCUCUCCUCCCCAGGAACUCUGUUUUGCAUUGUAUCUUCUCUCUCCUUUCGAACUGUCUAUUACUCAUUCCCAAAAAAAAAAAAAAAAAAAGUACAUGUCUACGAGAAAAUAACGCGUGAGCAAAAAAAUGCGAAAUUUAAUUGCCAUCUAAUUUUAGUAAAACUCUUAGAAAUUCAAGAAGAGCGCGAUGCUCUUAUGUUCCUCAUCUUCUUGCCCUUCCGGAGGAUUCCCUUUUCCAUGAACGCCGGUAACACUUUGUUUCUAUAUGCAAAAUAUAAUUGCCCGGAAGGGCAAUUGAGUCCAGACAGAAGCCCGAGGGAGGGAAGGAGCGGCCUCCUUCCAUCUCCAAACAACAACCUGAGUGGGAAUUGCCCCUCCCCUGUUGGGACCGAAAUGGGGUUGACUCAAGGUCGGCCAGCUCUACACAUAGUUAAAUACAACAGCUCUACACAUAGUGAACACCAGCCCCCCCUCACAGAAAAUUGACGAGAGAACUCCAGAAGGGUAAGACAAUUAACGCAAGGAGGAUAAUCAGCUAUUGAAAAAAAAAAACUUCGGACGCUCUCUUGCUCUGCAUCCGUGCAAUGGAAUUUUGUGCAGUUGCAAACGGUUUUAGAUCAAGAUGAUUUGGGAUUCUGCUGCUCGCCGAAGAAUUCUCUCUUCCCUCUUGUCAAAGAUUGAAAUGGAACAUGCAUGAUGCAACUGUGGAUUCUUGAGAGCUUUUCUUUGAAUCGUUUAAAAACCCACGUUCGACUUGGCUUUGUUCUAUGCGAUUCGGCUGUUCGCCGAAGAAUUCGCUUCGAAUCAAGCCAUGGGUAGAAUCUCUCUAUACCAUCGGAGAAUCUCUCUCACCCCGGUGAGCUACCCCUAUCCAAAUGGUGAUAGUAUGCCCAAACAAACCCUAGAAAUUCGUAUCGCCCAUUCAACUUUCCACCCAAAUCACAGAAACCUAAACAUCAUUUUCCCAAAAUGAAGAACCACUUCUCUUAGACACAACACCCUAGAAACCCAUCUAUGAAAUUACAGUUCGAUUACUUCAUAAUGUCACCCCACUCCCCUCAAUCCUUGAGUUUUGUUGUUCGGGAGUCCCGCCUUGGAGUAAGUCAAGUGGCCGCAACCAGAUCUUGCUCGAAUCCUACCCAGGAAGCCACCAACAUCCAACCGACAAGCCACCAACAUCCAAUCAACAGCAUACUAAAGUCUCUUCCCACUAGUAGAAGUCUGGGGGAGUUAUGGUCUGAGGAGGAUGUAGUUACCAUUAGAGGAGAUGUUCCUGCAAAAAAAAAAAAAAAAAAAAAAAAAAAAAAAAAAAAAAAAAAACGAGAAUGUGAAUUAACACUCAUAGGGAAACUAUACUCGAAGCCAAAUGUGAAUCUUCAGGCUUUCUUCAGCACAAUGAAAAGGGCGUGGAAAUAAAAAUCGGUCUUGUGUGAUAUCCUCGGACCAGGGCUUUUUUCCUUUACCUUUGAGUCAGCAACGGAAAAAGAAAAAAAGAAUAUUAUCUUCAGGUCCUUGGUCUUUUUCCAGCAAUCUCUUAAUCCUAAAACAGUGCGAUCCUGACACCCCUGACCACUCCUAUGUUUUUACACACUGUGAUUUUUGGGUACACAUCCUGGGACUACCUAGAGGUCAUAUUACUAUACAAUCAAUCACAGAUAUAGCCGCAACAAUAGGCAGAGUGCAGGAAGUGAAGAUGGAAUCCAAAGGAUUUGGUCAGGCAAAUGCGGGCAAAGCAAGGGUGCACCUAGAUCUCUCUAAACCUUUGAGGUUCGGAACCAUUGUCAACCUGGAGAAUAAGAAAAUCUGGGUGGACUUUAAAUUUGAAAGACUCCCACACACCAGAGCCUAUGUCCAAUGAGAUCGAGGCCCUAGACCCUGGUGCCUAUGUCCAUCGAGGUUGGGUCGAGGACCCCAAUGCCUGUGCCUGAGUCUUCAACACUUGGACCUAGGUCUAUCAAGGUCAAGCCUCAAACUCUGGUACCCUAGCCCAAAUCCGACCUUAAUGGACCUCAGCCUGAUCAUUGAGGACCCAUGCUUGGUCAUCGAGCACCCAAGAAUAAGCAAUGGUGUAAAAGAAUAUUUUCCAAAAAUAUAAUUUUUUUUUUUUUGCGAAAUAAGCGGAACCAAAGUAUUUUACAAAAAGAAAAAAAAAAGCCUAAGUACAUUUGAAGCAUUACAAUGUCCUAUGGUCAUGUAUAUUUGAAACGGAUUAAUAUCAUAAAAAUUUUGUAGAUUGAUACAUUAACAUGUCAUGGAAAUUCGAAAUAGGUACAACAAUUGUCCCAAAUUAAUUUUCGUAUUACAAAAAAUCCCAAAUUAGGGUGCCUCUAUCACAUUUAUCCCAAAAAUAUUUUCACAUCAUAAAAAAAUUAUAAAUUAGUACGCUAGUGUCAAACCUACCUUCCGUAAAUUGGGGAAUUUGUUAAAAUCUGCUAACUUUACUCUCAGUCUCAAUUCAUUUUCUUCGUAUCUGGUUUCUUCAAAUCUGCGUGUGACGUGAUUGGACGAAGACUAACAAAAGAUAGAUUAGUGCCUAUUGGGAAAUUAUUUUUCUUUGUUUAAAGCCCUUCUUCUUGGGCUUGGUCGUGAUACGUGUCGACAAGAAAAUUUCUGAAUAUUGACUUGGACCACAUAAAUCUGAGGGUAAAGAAAAACACAUCAGCAGGUUUGUUUCCGCUGUGAGGAGACACGCAAUCAAAGCUAUUCAAAAGGGUUUCAACAUAACCCCCUAACUGAAACUGCAAGAAAGCUAAUUUCAAAUCCUAGUGUACUGUCUGAAAAUCUUACCUUUGUUUCGGAGCUUCAGACAUCAGAACUUGCGAGGUCCGUGUUCGAAUUCAGAGGAUAGACGCUUUGUCAAUCUUUGUUUCAUUUAGUUGCUUACCUUGUGCGUACGCCAGAUGCCCCCUGCAGUUUCCUAUGUUUGAAACAGUUCCGUAGAAUGACUGCUAUCAUUCAGCAAUAUGUGCUCAAACUGUAACGAGCAAAAACAAUCUAAACCACCAUAAGCUUCUUGAUUAUACACCACCAUAAGCUUCUUGAUUAUUGACAAACAACUGGAUCUCGCAUGAAAUAAUGACUUUCUUUCAAUUAGCUGAACCGAUAAUGGCACAAAAGGCCAAGCUGGCUAUAUCACAGUAUAACUCGGAAGAUACAGGAAACCUUAUUAGUCCUCUCAUGCUUUGAUGGAUGAACUGCUUUGGGAUCUUGCUUCUGGGAUAAAAAAUGUCAACCCAAGACUCACCAAGCAGUCCCUGCUAAUUGGUACAGUUUACACCAUUUUACACUCGACACAAACACAAAAACAUGUGCGUGAGGGGCGGGGGGAGGGAGAGAGAGAGCAUUGAGAGAGCAUUGAUCCUGGAUCAUCUUGCCCCGCCUAGAGAAGUCAAUUUGUUUGAGUCAAGUUGAUUCAUCUGGAUUAUAUCCUAACAUGUGUGAUAAAUCCGCACAUGUUUCCUGCGAUUCACAACCUUUUACAAGUAAAGAUGUUAUGUUUGGCAGGAAAGCUAGAAUCUCUCAAAGCUGCAAGCAAUGUGUCAAAAAAAGCUGCUGCAACUUAGUAAAUUAACCGAUGCAUGUAGGAAGGCUAACAAAGUUGUUUUCUAACAGAUCUAAAAAAUUGUCAAUAAUGACCUGCGAUGAAGAUUUUUCAAAAAACUAAGCUGUGAUAAGCUGCAUCUUUGCAUACUCAAGUAAAUUAUGCUCGGAAGGGCUAAUGGGAGAAAGAAAUUGAUAUAAUCACUUGAUCCCACACAAAUUCCAGGAACUUACUAAGUUGUGAGCAUCUAUCAGAAAAAAUAUGCUCAAGAUGCUGCGGUGUAUAGAUGCUACAAGGAAGGUUUCUAAGGUCUGCACAGUCCCUCAAAAACAACUCUUUCAGUUCGACUAGAUUCGCAACAGAAGAGCAUAUUGCAAGCAUGUACCUAGAAUUCUUUCCCCAGUAUGCGGAUGCUGCUUUUACUCAGGAUUAGACCUACAAGUUUCCCGUGGCCUGUAUUGAAUGGCACCGAUGGCAGAGAGUAACUGGGCCAUUCCAGCCAUCUCAACUCAACAGGAAAGUACAUGGGAUCACCUGAAUGGUAUAUGGAAAAUGCUGAGCCUUUUCAUGUUUGUGAAGGCUUGAGCACUGAAGUGUACUUCAGGAGCAGCCAACUUGAGCAUUAUUGCUUCCACUUUAUUAGUUCCCUGGCAGCACAUAUAUGAGGAGAUGAUUUAAGUGCAAAGGUGUCUAGGUUAUGCAAGGACUCUGCUAGUAGUAAAUAAGAUUUGCCAUGCUUCUGGUGCCUUUGGUUCUUAGCUUUCAGAAUCUGCUUUUAAUUUAGCAUUUGAAACAAGAGUUUUAUAAACAACCUCAAUCAUAAAAUAAAAUAAAAUAAAAAAACCACAGUAUUUAAGUUCCUGCAGAUUUUUUUAUAAUUUACUUUCUGGAGAGAGGUCAAUAGUACAAACCAUACAUCUCAAGGUUGGAUAUGGAAAAAGCAACUAUUAUGGACCACCAAGACCAUUAUCCUACUUAGCAGAAUAUAUUCACAUAUUUUUUUAGUAGAAGGCUGUUGGAAAUGGUGAUCCAUUUUUCUAGAAUUUCCUAGAGUUACUAAACUACAACCUAGAAUUCCCUAGAUGAAGUUUUGGGUAGUUAAAGAUUGUGGCUGGAAAAUGUCCAGCAUGUAAUAAGCAAACAAUCUUUGAACAAGUCAGAGAUGUGGUGGUGGCUGCAAGAUGAAGCCUACAUGGACAGCAUCCAUGAGAAGUCCAGAAUCCUCUAAGGCAAUUGUACUUAGUUGGUGGAAAUGAUAAGGCCAUAGCUCAUUCACGCAAAUGUGUGAGAGGAGUAUGAGAAUAAACUCCUUCCUCCACCAACGCUUCUUCAACUAUUGUAAAACUAUUUUUAUAAACUAAUGAAACUAUCCUAGUCCCAUAAAAACUUUCUUUUAUCCCUUGAGCUAUCUUAUCUCGUCCCUUGUCCAUCAUAUACACAUUAUAUGCAACACACACUCAAACCACAAACUAUCAUCAAUACCAAAUCCGUGCACAUUCAUAUUUUUAACAAAGGCCAAAAGUUCUUUGUAAAAGGCUUUAACCCUACCAAACGGGCAUAUAUAUUGUCAAAAACAUAGGACCAUGAUUCAGUUUACUAAUGUGCCUUCUGUUAGCACAUGAAGCACAUCCUCAUAGAACCACAAUAUGCCGCACUCCCCUGGCUCUUUGGGAGAUUCCCUCCAAACAAUUUCUCUUCCCAUUUCUUGAAUCACAUCAUGCAUCUCCAGCUUGCCAUACUUAAUAGUGAUGAGCAACUUAUCUAUAAGAAUAGCAAUUCCACCAUCCAGGUAGAUAUCACAGCUCUCCCAAAUUUUUCUCGCAUAACUUAUACACUCUUCCAUGAAGAAACAUGCUAUGUCAGGAAAUAUGUCCUUAUAAUCAUCUAGACCAUCAAAGCUCAUUCUCAGCACACAGAAGAUUUCUCCACUGAAAACUCAAUUCAAAUUAUCUAAUGCACUAAUCCAUUCAAGUAAGCUUCUAUCACAAAGAAAAGAACCCAAAACUUUAAUAGCUAAUGGAAGUCCUUUGGUGUUAUCCACUACGUUAUUUGAAAGCUCUUCAUAAUCUGAAGGAGGAGAAAGAUUCCUGAAAACAAUCCAACUCAAUAGCAUACUAGCAAUAGAAUGAUGUAACACUUGAACCUUGUAUAUGCUUUCUAUGUGAUGAGCAGCCAGCAAAUGUUCAUCUCUAGUCAUUAUGAGAUUUUAGCUUCCACAACCAAACCAAUCACAUCCUCCAACUAGUGUUUCGAAUUGGAUCAACUGGUUCACAUUGUCAAUGACAAUGAGGACCUUUUUUUGGCGAAGUCUACUCUUUAUCAUGUUCAUACCUCUGGGGAUAUUGCCAAGCUUGAGACUAUCAUCUCAUUUUACCUGAGAAAAAAGUGUCUCUUGAAGCUGAAGUUGGCCACCUUCUGUGGAUUUCUCGCAAGUUUCCCUAACAUUGAAAAGAAAGCUGCAACAGUAAAAUUUGCAAGCAAAAGCAUUGUAAGUAGCUUUGGCAAAAGUCAUCUUCCCUAUUUCUCCAAUCUGCAAAUCCCGACCAUGCAAACCUCAUUUGAUUCCAUGUCUAGCAAAGUAUGCAAAUCGGAUACAUGCAAAUUUAUGUCAACCACGUUUUUGGGAACAUGUAACUGCUCAUUGUUCAGCUCAGGCCUUGCUCUCUUGACAAUGCUCUGAAUGACAUAAGACUUGUGCCUGGUAGAUUCCAUGCAUAAAGCCAAUGAAGAAUACCCAAGGAGAUUCAAAUACAAUUGAUACAAGGAGUACUAAGUUGCUCUCCAGUGAGAUCAACUCCCAGUCAGUNNNNNNNNNNNNNNNNNNNNNNNNNNNNNNNNNNNNNNNNNNNNNNNNNNNNNNNNNNNNNNNNNNNNNNNNNNNNNNNNNNNNNNNNNNNNNNNNNNNNAAGUUGCUCUCCAGGGAGAUCAACUCCCAGUCAGUAUCUCAUGCACUAUAAACCAGAUUCAGUUCUAGCAAUCGGCACCUAAAGAGAAGAUAGGGAAAUCAACUUUCUGGAUACCUAAUAAACAGAUAAAUACUCAGUCAGCCUUAAGUUUAAUCAAUAACAGAUCAUUACCUUCCUUUUUGAUAAACCUGCAAACCUCAAGGGGCUUGUGGAGGGACAUGGUCCAGCUGCAUGUUUAUUUACUCAAUGCACGACUUUUGAAAUUCCCCUUUUAGAGUGAAGAAACGAUACAUAAGCUUUCCUGCUCCGUUUAGAGUGAAUUGAUUUUUUCCCCUUUUAUGCAUAAACAUUACCCUGAAUUUAUUUCCAAGGAAGUAAGUGAAAUUCCUUAAUCAACAAUUGGAAAGGAAUAAAUGAGAGUCUUACUUGUCAAACCAAAAUGCCAGCCAGAGUUGUCUGCCGCUUUAGUCUGUGCUUCUCUCUCACCUCUUCACCUUCCCCGAAUCGCCCUUCGACUUCAACCUUUCGUCGUGACCGAUUAGGGCUUGUCCAUACCUCCCCUCUGGUUCCUCACCUCCGACGGAUCCACCUUGUCGAACAGCCGCCACGAGAUCUGCCCCAUCGUAUCCCUGCACUCGACGAUUCUCACCAGCUCGUCCAAGCACCAGCCAGAGGACCCGUAGUUCUCCGAGAACACGACGGCCGAGAUCCUCGACUCCCCUAUGGCUCCAUGGUAGCUUAGGAACACUUUUUACCCGCAUGGACGGCCAGAAGGACAAGGGCGGAGCGUCGCCGGAGGCCUCCGGGCUCGAGCUCGACAUGAGCGAUGAGAGACGGAAGGGAGAGGGACCUCCUUCUCGAACAGCAGUCUGACCGUGUGAAAUGCAUCGCCUUUUGGACUGAAAUUGGUUGAUACAGGGCCGGCCAUGGUUGCACCAGUGAACAGCUUGUGGUGAGAGACGUGCCCACGAAUGAGGAAUCCUUUUACGUGCAUUAAGCAUAAUUAAAAAAAAAAUCACAAAAAAGUUCAAAUUAUAAUCAUUACAAUUACCCUAUUUUUUUUUCUUGCGAUGCAAAAUAUCCAAAAUUUAUAUCUAUAUAAAACAUUUAUCCUCCAAGGUCCGUUAGAUGGCUAAAGUAACAGAAUUAUUUAUUCCACUUAAGUCAUGUGCGCACCAUAUCAAUAACAUUUACUUUUUUUUAUUUCCACGUAGGCAAAUUUUUAAUGGUUUAUGUAAGAGGAUUAUUAACCCUUCUCGUUAACAUAACUUUAAUUAAAAGUAAAUAUAACAUAUAGAUAUAAGUUUUGGAUUAGUGCCAUGGAAAAGAGGUUCAUAAUAAAUGUGUCAUAAUGGGCAUAGUUUUGGGUUUUUGAUGGCUUUUUCCCUAAUAAAAAUUACUAAGCACAUAAAAUUUAUGAUUUUUUAAAAAAAGUUACCAAGAAACAUCAAAAGUCAUUUCAACAUUGGGAAAUUACCAAACAAGUUUGAAUAUUUCGAGGGAUUGAAAAAUUACUAACCUCAUUACGUAUUCUUUUUACCUAAGCUUAGCUUCACUUCGUAUUAUUUAAAUUACUUCAAUUUGAAAAUGAAAUUAUUCGUCACAUGUGGAUGUUAUAGUAAACAAAAAGCUACUAAUCACAUAUAACUAAUUAUUUCCUGUAUUAAAAGUUGCUAAACAUAUUAAAAGUUGCUUCGAUGUGUGAUCAAAAACAUUUUCACUAUUACAAAAGUAAGUUUGCUCCUCUAAGUGAGAAAAUAUAGGCUAAUUUUUUUAAAUAUGUUGAAAAAUGUUAUAAAUAUAUGGACGAUAUAUUUUAAUGGACCAGUUACCUAUACCCUGCAAAAUAUUAAAGUGCAAUGAAAUAUAUUCUCCAUCUAUAUAUUAUGUUAAAAACAGAAGUUUCUGCUAUUAUAUUUUUCCUCAACUGUUUAUAGAAAUAGCACAUGAGCAAACAAAUGUAAAUCACAAACUAUGGCCAUAAUAAUUUAAGAAAACUCUUGAAAUUCAAAAANNNNNNNNNNNNNNNNNNNNNNNNNNNNNNNNNNNNNNNNNNNNNNNNNNNNNNNNNNNNNNNNNNNNNNNNNNNNNNNNNNNNNNNNNNNNNNNNNNNNNNNNNNNNNNNNNNNNNNNNNNNNNNNNNNNNNNNNNNNNNNNNNNNNNNNNNNNNNNNNNNNNNNNNNNNNNNNNNNNNNNNNNNNNNNNNNNNNNNNNNNNNNNNNNNNNNNNNNNNNNNNNNNNNNNNNNNNNNNNNNNNNNNNNNNNNNNNNNNNNNNNNNNNNNNNNNNNNNNNNNNNNNNNNNNNNNNNNNNNNNNNNNNNNNNNNNNNNNNNNNNNNNNNNNNNNNNNNNNNNNNNNNNNNNNNNNNNNNNNNNNNNNNNNNNNNNNNNNNNNNNNNNNNNNNNNNNNNNNNNNNNNNNNNNNNNNNNNNNNNNNNNNNNNNNNNNNNNNNNNNNNNNNNNNNNNNNNNNNNNNNNNNNNNNNNNNNNNNNNNNNNNNNNNNNNNNNNNNNNNNNNNNNNNNNNNNNNNNNNNNNNNNNNNNNNNNNNNNNNNNNNNNNNNNNNNNNNNNNNNNNNNNNNNNNNNNNNNNNNNNNNNNNNNNNNNNNNNNNNNNNNNNNNNNNNNNNNNNNNNNNNNNNNNNNNNNNNNNNNNNNNNNNNNNNNNNNNNNNNNNNNNNNNNNNNNNNNNNNNNNNNNNNNNNNNNNNNNNNNNNNNNNNNNNNNNNNNNNNNNNNNNNNNNNNNNNNNNNNNNNNNNNNNNNNNNNNNNNNNNNNNNNNNNNNNNNNNNNNNNNNNNNNNNNNNNNNNNNNNNNNNNNNNNNNNNNNNNNNNNNNNNNNNNNNNNNNNNNCAACUUAGUAAAACUUUGUUUCACAAAAUUUAAAUUGAGCAACCCUAUUCCUCCCUCCCUUUUUGGCAAGCAAAAAAUUUUCCAAGCAACUUAUGCAAUCUGUGGCCUCCCAUAUUUCCAACCCAUAAGAAUUGCCUAAUCUUCAUCUUCACUUCGUAUAUAGUUUGCUUUGGAUGUAAAAACAUUUGUAUCAAAUAAGUACAGAUGAAAAUAAGUAUUGAUGGCCAACUACAGAUGACUGGGAUAGCUUAUAUGUUGUAUGCCCUAGCCUUCUAUUCUUUUGAAAAUUUUAUCAGCCGUACUCUUGCAAUUUGUGUGCUUCAAUUGUCUUGUGACAAGAGGAACACCAAGGUAUCUAAUGGAAAGGAUACUUGUGAGGAAAGGGGUGUGAUCCAAUAGAAUACCCUAUUUGACCUCGGCCGGAAUAGAGAAAAAGAUUUGACAUUUAUCUAGGUAAAAAUGUAGUCCUGUGAGACUUGCAAAUUCAUCAAUUGUUUUGACAAGGCAAAUAACAUAAUCGGCAUCUCCAUGAGCAAGAUGAAACAAAUCAUUGGCAAAGCAAAAGUGUAAUUUUUCUUGUUUUGCAGCACCAAUGAUACUUGAAAGACGAUAUGACCACUUUCUCAAAGAUAAUUCUAUUAAGAAUCUCCAUAAUUAAGACAGAGUCGAUCGCCUUGCCAUAGUCCAUUGGUAUUAGCAAAGUAGCCAACUUGUUUGCCGUUGAGGCUUAUUGAAAACCUCGGUGUAGUUAUGUAUUGAGCUAUCAAAUCAAUCAAGUGCUAUGGUGAAUUGAUAGCUCUUAGAACCUCGAGUACUGCCACCCAUCUUACCAUGUUAAAAGCUUUCAUGAGGUCAAUUAUUGCCACACGGUUACCUUUGUCGCCCUUAUGGUAGCUGUGAAGGAGCUCCUAGCAAAGUAGAAUAUGCUUCAAAAUUUGUUGACUCGAGAUCAAAGCAGUUUGGUUGAGGCCAACGACCAAAAGAAUUAUAUAGUUGAUUAUUUUGGUAAGUAGCUUCAAUAUGAUUUUAUAUAAAACAUAUUUUAUAUAAAACAUUGCAGCAUGAGAUAGAGUCUAAAAUCUUCCAUGUGAGAUGGAUUCAGGAACUUCAACACAAGAGAUAUCAUAGUAGAAUUGAGGUAUGAACACCUAGAGUGCUAAAACUUGGCAUGCAGUGACACUUAAGUGCCAAAAUUGGAACAAAAUGAGUCACCUGAGUGCCAAUACGGCCAAAAUGUCGACGUGACAAUUUUCCGAUGAGGCAAGUGCAAAACGACAUCGUUUUGCACGCUACCGUGGCUAAACAAUACAAAAACGACGUCAUUUUAGUGUUGACGUGGUGAAAAAAAUUAAUAUAAAAAAUUAAUUAUAUUUAAUUUAAAACUAAAUUUAUUUAAAAAUUUUAAAAAUAAAAUAUAAAUAUAAAAAAAGAGGCAGGUGGCUAAGGGCUAAGCCACUUGCCUCUCUCUCUCUCUCUCUCUCUCUCUCUUUUGUUUUUAUUUUAAAAUUUUUUGUUUUUUAAUAUUAUUAUUAUUUUUAAAUUUUUUAAAUAAAUUUAGUUUUAAAUUUAAUUUAAUUAAUUUUGUAUAUUUAUAUUAUUUUUUAAUCACAUCAGCACCAAAACGACAUCGUUUUUGUAUUAUAUAGUCAUGUCAAUGUGCAAAACGGCGUUGUUUUGUACUUACUUCACCGAAAAAUCGCCACAUCGACAUUUUGACCUGAUUUUGGUUGAAGUAGCACUUAAGUAAUCCAUUUUGCUCUGAUUUUGGCACUUAAGUGCCGCUUUCCUAACUCUUAACACCUAAGUAUCCCUCCUUGCCAAAUUUUGGCACUUGGGGUGUACUUCUCCCUAGUAGAAUUUAUAGUUUUCAACAUCCUCCUUGAGGAGGAGAAGUCCAUUAUAGCAUCCACUAUGUCAUCCUAUGAUGGGCCAGGCUUUUUUGUAGAAUAAAUUGUUAUAUCCAUAUGGACCCAUAGCUUUGAAGUUGUUGAUGCCUUUUAGAACUCUAAGGAUCUCAGCUUUUUGAAAGCCUAGUGAAGCCAUGAGGUCACUUACAUCUUCCAAGAAUAAGGAGGCAUACCGCUUAUAAGGGAUAUGAAUGUGUCAAGAGUUGCCAAGUAUGUGAUAGUAAUAGGAGACAACUGUAUCCCCAAGAGCUGAGUAAUUUUGUUCUAUCAUCAGGUGAGAGCUAAGUAAUUCUGUUCUAGGCACUACUACUCAUCAUGGAGGCAAAGAAAUCUAGUUGUCGUUGGCCAUCUCCUUAAGCCAUAGAUUUCUAGAUUUUUUUCUUUAGGAGAAAUUCUUCAUGUUUGCUAAGGGUAAGUAGUUGCCCCGAUUGUGCCUUUUCUUCCUCUUGAGUGCUCAUAUUGUCACAGUCCAAUGCAAGAACUUGUUGUUACCACUAUAGGUUUUCCUUGGCUUUCUUGACCUUCAUACGCAAGUCACCAAAUUGAGAUUUAUUAAGGUGAUUGAGUUGUUGUUUCAAUGCUUCGAGCUUCUUCACCAAAAUAAACAUUUUCAAUCCUCUAAUUUCCUGUUGCCAAAAAGCAUUGACUGUUGGUAGAAAAUCGUGGCUUUCGGUCCAAAAAUUGAAGAAUCUAAAAGGUGGCUUCCUUCUCUCAGAGCAGUGUUGAGACAUAUCAAGCAGGGGGGAUGAUUUGAAACACAUGGUAGCAAAAAUUCUACCAAAUAAUGAGUGUACCUGUGUGUUCCCAAUUUGCAUUUAAUGAAGAACCUGUCAAUCUUGCUCACUGUAUGAUCAUCAUUGAACCUUUUAUAUAACCAUGUGAAAAAAGGGCUUGUGGAAUGAGGCUCCAUGAGCGUAAACUCCUCAAUCUUAGUGUCUAGCUCAUGUAUUCCAAAAGUCCAUCGGAUAUUAGAUUCAAUCCAUUCAUUUGUAUCUCUUGUUUCAUUGAAGUCACCUAUUAGUAGCCAAUGCAUAUUUUAUGUAUUAUCAGUAAAUAAUGUGUUAAUGUUCAGACACAAAAACGCAUCCAUGAAUUGCAGAAAGGAGAAAUGAAUCAUUUCCGGGAUUCUCAACAGUGUGACUUGAUUGAAAACUUCCAUCAUAGUCAAGCUAAUAAUGGACGAUUUCCACAAUAUCCAUAUUCUACUGAGAUUGUUGCUUUGAUAGUUAUGGAUGCAUUUCCAGCCUCAAAACCUAAUUUGACACUAAAAGAGGAGUUUUUUCAAUUGCAUAUAUUAGUUAGGCAUAACAUGAAAAUAAUUAUGAGUUGGAAAAUUGAAAUAUUGCUCUAUUUAUUUAGUUGCUCAGCAACUAAAUUCAUUAUAAGAACUCUAACAAAAUUGCAAGUUGAAAAAGUUAGAAAAAAAAAAUGGCGAAAAUCAUAAACCCCAAAACCCUGAUUGCGCCUUGACUUCACCCAAAAGAGCGAUAGUGAUUGCGUUCGAUUUGCUUCUCGAGUGAAGCGAAGAGAGGAGAAAAAGAAUGGUGGUUCAGAUCCGUUAAGCGAGAUUCGGGUGCAAGAAUGGGCCCUUCUAUCGGGUCAUGGCCGCUGAUAGCAAAUCUCCUCGCGACGGCAUGCAUCUCAAAGUAUUAGGAUGCCGCAUUUACUCAAAUUAAUUUUCGUGCCACAGAAAAUCUUAAACCGAUAAAUAAGUACCACAUCUUUUAUAAAAUUGGUGCAACGGACAAGAUAACCAGAAGCUUCUGAGAAAAAACUUCAUCCUGGCGUCUUCUUCCCUUUAAUUUUGUCUACUUGGUGGAACAUCUUAAGCCAGCGGACUUGAAUUUUAGGCUUGCCAUGCCGUGGCUAGUCCUUUCUGAGGACAAUAAUCCUACAAAACCUUACAUAUGCUCUUGUGAUGUUUUGAACAGAACUGGUUUAUUCCCCUUUUUUUAAGGGAAAAAAAUGAUAGGGGAUCUUGUACACAUACUCUAAAUGCAUCUUUAUGAAUUCGGAAAAUUAAUUUGAAAUAAAUACGACAUGAAUUUAUCAUUUUUAGGAUUUCUUUUUUUUUGUUAAUAUUAACCAUAUUCUUUUAUAAUCUGUGUAUUAAACAUUUCUUAUCAUUUGGCAAGGACUAAUGCAGGAAGAACAUGUUGGGGAGCCAAAUGUAACUAAGCAUUCACCAACCCUUGCUCGACCACUUGCUAGAUCUAGCCAUGACGGCUGCGAGCUUUGAGGUUUAAUCUAGCUUUUAAGCUCACGGCUGCCAUGGCCACUCGAGCUUGAAGCUUGGCCUAAGGGUCUGCUUCAUGGGGGAAAGUAUGUUUUUUUACUUCCUCUUGAACAAGUUCCACAAGCUUUUAUGUCAAAGAGGCCUGUUAAGGUUCAGAAGAUAUUCUGCUCCAUAUGCUUUGACCGGAGGCCACAACAAUUUCAGGUUCUCUAAUGGGAUCCUUUCGAUCAGAGACCAUACUUUCCUUCUGCACGCACUUCCAUCUCAAUCCUGAUAGCUUCCUUUGGAAGAAGGGUGACUCAUAUCUUCUAGAUUGCACACCUUCGACUUUUUCUCUUUCAUUUUCAUCUUUUUAUUUCUUGAACCAGUCCGGAAUGAGUCACGAAUUUCCAUAGGUAGCUCCGAGUCGGAUCUCUGGUGGGUGGUCAUGCAAGGGCCGAUGAACGCCGCUAGAGGUCUAGGUGGCAGUGGGCAGCAAUGAACAUGCGCCAGAGAGCUUUGGCCGAGCAAUCCCGAGCUUGAGGACGAUGAAUACUAACUUCAAUUUUUUAUUUUUUUUUAGUUUUUAUUUUUUAAUCUUUUUAUGUGUGGUGCUUGCGUGGGUGUCUCUUGUCCUUGAAAAGCACUAAGAAUGCCACAUUGAAUCCAUGUCAGAUUUUUAACAUAACCCGAACAGAAAUAAAUUUGUUAUUCGGAUACAAGCUUGAGAUUUUUGGUAUUAUAACAAAAAAAAAUUAGGUAACUGUGUCAUAGUUGGGGGUAUUUUGUAGUUUUCCCUAAAAAUAUCACUGUGCAAAUCAUGUGCAUAUCACUGCUNNNNNNNNNNNNNNNNNNNNNNNNNNNNNNNNNNNNNNNNNNNNNNNNNNNNNNNNNNNNNNNNNNNNNNNNNNNNNNNNNNNNNNNNNNNNNNNNNNNNNNNNNNNNNNNNNNNNNNNNNNNNNNNNNNNNNNNNNNNNNNNNNNNNNNNNNNNNNNNNNNNNNNNNNNNNNNNNNNNNNNNNNNNNNNNNNNNNNNNNNNNNNNNNNNNNNNNNNNNNNNNNNNNNNNNNNNNNNNNNNNNNNNNNNNNNNAGCCGCGACCGUCGCCGUCUUUGGUGCGCCGUUCAUGCUGCCGUUGGUGCCAUGAGACUCGUGCCUUCGUCGUCGUCGCACCACCGUCGCCGCGUGCUCGCUGUCGCCAGAUCAAGAAGAAGCUGGCGAAGAAGAUGAGGCAGAACAGGCCCAUCCCUCACUGGAUUCGCAUGCGGACUGACAACACCAUCAGGUUCAUAUCCAAUUCCUUCACGUUUUGUCUCAAAAAAGCUGUCUUUUUAUUUUUUAUUUUUUUUGUGGCCUAAUUUUUGUCGCCGAAAUCGUUCAGGUACAACACGAAGCACAGGCACUGGCGCCGCACCAAGCAAGGGUUCUGAGGUGUUUUCAUGGGAGGAGGUGCUUUUGCUUCGGGUUAGAGCUUUUUAGUUGUUGCUUAGGUGAGGUUCAUGUCCUUUGGCCCUACGUGGCCUUUCUCUACCUAUUGUUUAGGCUUUUUCUCGCUUUGGCCCGCUCUUGCGGUUUCUUUUGCAUCCAGCACCUUCCACUCACUUUAACUCGGUGUCGUGCUGAGUGCAAAUUUUGUGGUGCUAGAUCUUGUGUAAAUGUUGGCUCAAAGCUCAUUAUAUUAAUUAUUCUUACCAAAAAAAAAAAAAAAACUAAGUACGUUUUUCUAGCAUAUAGAGCGAUUCUCGGUUGCGAACAUCAGCCAGAGCCAGACAACAGUCAGGUGCAAGGUGUAUCGAACUUUUCCUGCAAAAAGUAAGGGGAUUUUAUUUAUGUUGACUAGUUGAUUAAUCUCUAAUUAAAGUUUUGGCUUUAUCUUCUUAUAAGAUAAAUGCGACACCAGCUCGAGGAAUUUUUACCUUUUGAGAAUUUGUCACUUCAUGAUAACAUAAGAUAAUGUAGGGUUUUGGGAACCAAGACACUUUUGACUUGCAUGUAAUUCACUACCAUCGGCAGAGUUUUUCUCAUAGGACAAAUAACGUGCAUCUUCAAUGUAUGGAACUGCGGAUUAUGUUUGCCUGAUUGCUACCUUCAUUUGAACAGCGGAACUCAGCAAACACUCCUUCCCCGAUGGUCGAAUGUACUCAAUAAGAUUAUGGAUGCCAAUGAUUGUCCUCGGCUGGCAUGCCUUGACAUUGGCAGUCCGGAAGAACAACUUCUAAAGAGGAGAAGGUUUGCAGAAAUUCAAGAGGCCUUUAGCUAGGCUUUCAAUGAGGAUAAGGACAAGUUCGAGAAAUCAAACGUUUCUUCCUCUUCACCAUCUUCAUCUUCACGAGCAACGAGGCCUAAGGAAUAGCUCCAUAUGAACAACAGAUCAUUGUAAGAUUUCAGAAAUGCAUGUACUGUUGUAAUAUAAACUUCUUUUCUCUUGGUUUUGCAUCUGCCAAUUUUUGUCUCUGUACCGGGGUUUUUUAACAGGUCAUUCAAAAAGAUAGGGGUGGUGUUAUAGUUUUUGUUAAAAGUUAAAUCUGGUGAGAAUCGCGAGGGCCAUUUCAAUUUUUUUUGGCUGUCUUAGCAGGAAAUAUCGCAAGCAAAUGAUCAAGUGCAUAUGGGGUCAAAGAAUUGUAGCCCGACUAAUUUCGACAUGGAAUAUCACAAUUCACAGGAGACUAUCUCACACCAAAAUUUGGUUAGGAUGCACAGAAAAAGCACGCAGUUCAAUAUGCAGAAGUACAGAGUACUUAUGGAUGCACUUAGAUGCUGUUGGAGAAAUCUUUCCAAAAUAUUUUGAAGUUGACAAAAAGUUUCUAUCAGUCUAGUCUGGAGCAUUGCAGACCCUUCUAUUUAGAGUCUGAAGACCGUUAGAUCACCAGACUCAGCACACAAGACUAGGGGUGAGCGAUUCCCGAUUCCUUACAGGUUCCGCUUGGAACCUGGAACCUACCAUCGGGUACAGGUUCCUCAUUUUUUGGAACCUGGAACCUACCCGUGAGAACCAAGAACCUGGAACCUACCCUGUCACAGGUUCCGGGGUCGGUUCCAGGUUCCAACAGGUUCCAACGGGUUCUUUUUUUUUUUUUUAGUUUUAAAAAAAUGCUUCUAUUGGAACUUACCGAAUGAUUAAUUAGCCAAGCUAUAUUCCCUUUAUUUGUGGCAUCGAUUACAAGUUCUUCACUGAUCUUGAAGAGCUACACAAUGUCUCAGCAUGUUUAGAAGACAAACUGACAGAUAAUGCAGAUCGUGAUUUCAAUGCUAAUCAAUGAACCUGAUGAGCCAAAGAGACAAAGCUUUGGGAGGGAAAAUCAUGAAGAAACACACUUCCUAAACUCCACUCUUUAUGGUAAUGAAAAAACGAAAAACAUUUGAGAAUAUAAAUCACUGUACUUGUCUCUUUUUAUCAUGUCCUCCAUUUCCAAGAAUAAAUGAAAAGUAUAAUGACAAAUACAGCAUUUCCGUCCAACUAAAGCAUAACAUGCAAAUAAUGAGGUAGUUUUCAGAAGAAGGUACCAUUUCUCCUUCCUGAAUAUGUCUUUGAGCAAAGGGUCCCCAUCCAUGUAUACCAGAUUUACCGAAACAUAUUCGAUGCUUUUCUGUCCUCUGAAAUAGUAAUUUAAUAUUAGCCAUUAUGAAAGACACAUCAAGCAAAAUGCGAUGAUAAAAAUUGGAGGAGCAAACGUACUUGUUAAUGACCAUGACAUAGUUAUAAUCAACCUCUUGGCUGUCGAACCUUCUGCAUAAUCAUCCAAGUAAAAUCAUAUUUUUCCAGGACAAGGCAGCAUGCACCAUAUAGUUUUUAGUCAAUGGAUCAUAGUUGUUAAAUCUUCUAGGCAAUAGACUUAACAAAACGGCUCUGGACAUGAGAUUGAAGCAGAGAAUUAAAACAUGUAGACAAGGGGAACCAAUCUAACCUAUGAUCGGCGCAAUAUAUCAACUUCUUUGUUAUUUGACUCCCACUCUUCUCCAGGUAGUGUAACUGAGAACAAAGAUGUAGAAUCAGUGUAAACUUACAUGAGUAUCUAUCUAACAUAUCCUUCCUUGAAAUCCAACGCCAAAGAAAAUAGAAAGAAAGCAACAGCGAGCGUUAUAAUAGAUUAAAAAAUCCAGCUCAAGAAAUUCUACCAAUGUUAGUUCUGAUAAAAGUCAUGAAAAUAAUAUAUAUCUAUAUAAGGACUUACUUCCAUGCUGUGUCCUGCUCUUGCAGCACACAUAACUUGAAAAUAAGUAGGACAUCUGCUGCAUUGAGUGCAGGAAACAUGAGUCUGCUUACAUAUUACACAACUCUGCACCACAAGCAAAGAAAAGCAUUUGAAAAGAAGCACUGAGCAUCUAGAAGUUAAUGGCAAAUAAACUAAGUAGUAGACAACAAACAAAAUCAACACAUCAAACUCAAAUACUCAACUGAACAGUAAGCUGCUAUAAAGCUAUUAUGAAAUCAGGUUCUCCUCUAUUGCUAAACGCUUUUAUCAUUCCUACAAUAAGUACAAUCCACCACAUCAAAGAAACAGCAAUCUUCAAAACUGUAAAUCUAAAUAAGUAUGGAUUACCUUCAAAAAAGAAGUUGGAGGAAUUCUAAGUAUUCUAGUGGCUGGCUCCAUUUUCUCAUGAUUCAGAAAGCCAACUUCAGGGCAAAACCACGCGCAUGUGACAUGAACCCGGAGCGGCUCGAUAUCUGUUGGCUUCAAAGCACCUCCUAGAGACCAGCAUUUAAGCCAGUCAAAAUAAUUUCAAGCAAGAAAAUACUAACUCACACAACACCAAGACAUAGAUUUAGAGCAAAAGUCAGACAACUGUGAUAAUGAAUUUCAUAUGAUACGGCUUCCUCAAAAUCCCAAUAGUAAUAUUUCUAAAAAAUCAAAAGUGAUAUAUCUAAUAUUGUCACCAUGAACGUCAAAUAAUUUAAAAGUAUAAGAAACAACAUAUGAGGACAAAAGCACCUCCUCCCAUGAAAACACCUCAGAACCCUAGCUUGGUGCGGCGCCAGUGCCUGCGCUUCGCGUUGUACCUGAACGAUUUCGGCGACAAAAAUUAGGCCACAAAAAAAUAAAAUAAAAUAAGAAGACAGCUUUUUUUGGACAAAACGUGAAGGAAUUGGAUAUGAACCUGAUGGUGUUGUCGGGGGGGGGUGCGAAUCCAGUGAGGGAUGGGGGGGGUUCUGCCUCAUCUACUUCACCAGCUUCUUCUUGAUCUGGCGACGGCGAGCACUCUGCGACGAGAGCACGAGUCUCACUGCACCAACGGUGGCUUGAACAGCGCAGCGAAGACGGCGGCAGCCGCUGCUCAUCCCACGGCCAAGAAGAGAAGAACUCAGUUCGGGUGGAGGUGGUGACGGUUCGGAGCAACGAUGGCCCGGACGGCUUAGCAAGCGGCCGCUAGAGGUGGUGAUGUGGGGUUAGGACUGCGGCGGUGNNNNNNNNNNNNNNNNNNNNNNNNNNNNNNNNNNNNNNNNNNNNNNNNNNNNNNNNNNNNNNNNNNNNNNNNNNNNNNNNNNNNNNNNNNNNNNNNNNNNGGGGGGGGGGUUUGGCCCAACACAGGGGGACACAGAAAAGCGCACAAGAGAGAGAGAGAGGAAAAAGAAAAAAGUGGGGGGCAGGAAGUGACGUGAGGAGGAAAAAGUGGAGAAAAAGAGAGAGAGAAAAAGAAAGGGAAAGGGGGGAAAGUUGAACAGAAUGGGGGGAAAUCGCGUGGAAGGAAUUAGGGUUUUUUAUUUUUUAACUUUGCCGGUUCCGGUUCCUCAGGUUCCGGUUCCUAUGGGAGCCGGAACCAAAACCGGGAACCGGAACCGGUCCCCUUAGAACCGGGAACCGAACCGGAACCUCCUCCGGUUCGGUUCCGGUUCCCGGUUCUACCCGGAACCACGCUCACCCCAACACAAGACUCAAGACUCAAGACUAUUCUCAUUGACAGUUUUUAAUCCAGCGACGAAGACGAUCCAGAGCUAAAGUGUUUGGUUGAGGAUUUGGUCUUAUCCACUUGAGAAGAUCGCUUGGCUGGAUAUGAUAUAACAGAUUCUUUUAUUCAAAAUCAAGAUUAUUUAAAGAUCCGAUGAUUAACGAAAUAUUCUUGGAAGGUUCUAUUCUUGGAAACCAAGAUCCUGAUUGUAUGGACGAACAGGAUUGAUGGGCUAUCGACAUGUUCCUUUAAUAGCUCGAAUGAUUUUCUUAAUUGAUUCUGUCCAACGGGAAGAUUGGAAGAAUUCCUUUGGUAAGUGCUAACAGGUAUGAUGGCAUAAAGGAGUAUAAAAGGAAAACGUUCCAACUGUUCUAGAAGAUGCACGAUAGAGAAAUUCUAGAGUCUAAAGCUCCUUGAUUAUUAGUCGAUUCAUAUUGAGCAAAACUGUAUUCACAAAAGAGAGUCUAUACUUAGUGAUACCUUGAGGGAGUGUGGUAGAUCUUCUACAUAGUGAAAUCAAGGGAGAACAGUGCUGUAACAUCUCUUUGUUCAUAAUGGAAUCCAGCCAGUGGGCUGUCAGUGCAGAAGAGUGGACGUAGGCUUGAAAUAAGCCGAACCACUAUAAAUCUUGCGUUCAAUUUUCUCUUCCCUACUCUCAGUCUUAUUUUGAUUGUUGUUUGUUUAUUGACGAGAAAAAAUUGUCUCAAUUCUAUCAAGUGUUUAGCAUUGUGCGAUUAUCGUGAGAAAUUACUCUUUAUACCUAUUCACCCCCCCCUCUAGGUACUCUUACUAACCAUAUCAGAUGCAUCAUACGUACUCUCGUUCUCUCGAAACUCGAAAAUAUUAUCCGGUGCAUAUGGAGUCCGUAAGAAAAAGCUCUAUUGAGAACGGAAAGAGACGCUGAGAAAUUAGCUGGAAAUGUCUGAUGUUCACUCAGGAAGACUUCAGACAGACUUCAGGGAGUGAUCACCUUUUGGGAGCAUUCUAGGGUCGCUGCUAUCAUUGUCCUAGUCCAUCAUUUGUGUUUGUCCACUUUAUUUAGUCACUUCCUAAUCCGAAUUCGGUAAGAGUCACAUCUGUGAUGUACUAUAAGAUUCACCAAAUAUAGAUAAAAAUCUCUUGAGGCAGACUUUACAACGACACCUAGCCUAAUUUCCGUGGUCAAAUUUUUCUUUUUUUGGGUGAGGAUUGGACGGCAUUAACUUUGAAUAUGCGAAUUAUAUCAAUGAUGAGAUGGAAACCGCGUGAUUGAUCUACUUUAUAAAAGAUUCUCCAAAGACUCAGUAAAUUUUAUUCAAAUAGCCCUUAAAAUGGAACAUUUUCUCAUAAGGUUCUUUAAAAUGAACUUCAUUUCAAAUAAAGUCCAUAAGUAAGCGACUCAGUCUUCAAUCACCCACAACUUGCCCGCUAAUCAAUUAUUUGCCGACGGACAGGCACGUGAAUCUCAUGUGACAGUAACCAAACCAUGACUAAAGACAUUUUCAUUUACGAUGGAGGUUGAUCCGUGCCCUAUAGGCGAGAUCUAAGGCUCAAAUCAAGCACGAGCAUGUCAACAUUUGACGCUUGUGGUUGCCACUAUUUAAUUCUUGAUAUGACGAUGGCUGAUGGGCAAGGAGAGAGAUGCGCGCAGAAGAGAUGGUGGAGAGAACGCUCACAGAGGGAGACGAGGGUGAUGACGGCACACAGAAAAGGGGAAGGGCGACAACAUCAGACGAGGCAACAUAAAAUGAGGCUAUGCUAUCAAGGUGAUGGCUGCGUGCAGUUGCAAGAUUUUGGUGUCCUGGCGACUUCUUGUCGACGGUCCAUUGUAGAUUUUGUUGGUAGUUUAUUUGUAAAACAAAUUUGAAAGUUCCUCCUCCCACAUAGAAUAAUUAGAAGUGCGUGUGUCAAUAUAUAAGUGUGAAAGCCUUCCACUCUUUCAAAUGGAAAUGAUGGGUUUAGUGGGUUAGACCCUACAAUAAGCACAUGCCGGUGUGCAGUAAUUAGAUGUACUUCCCAAUUGGGUUAUGGUUGUUUUUUAUAAAUUAAUUUUGAAUUUUAUUCCUAAAGGUUAUUCAGCAUCUUAGAAUCUUUAAGAAGUCGUGUCUUUUCAGAAGUUUUAAAAUUCAUAAUUAAAAAAUAUAUAUUAUUAUCCUUAUUAUUAUUUAAUAGGAAUUCCAAAAAUGUCUUUGGAGAAAGCAUAUGUUCACAAUAAUUCUAAAAGACUAUUCAUCAUUUUUUGUCUCAUAUUUUCUUUAGUCCUAUCGAUUUUCUUUCAAAAAAUUUCAACCAUUUAUUUUAAUUGUUUCCUUUUAAGAGUUCUCGGAGAAAUACAGAAAUUGUUAUCCGGUAUUCUCAUUGAGAUUUUGUUGUAUCGAUUUUGUUCAAUAACUAUUUGCAACGUUGGGGAUAAAUAAUGUUUUAAAGAGAGUAUUAUCACGCUUCAAAAUCUGACUCCACUCUUCUUCCCAGUCAUAUUUCUGCUGACAGAUCUAGAGGUAGGGAAAUGGAGUUCUUGCAAGUGACUUGCUUUGACGGUGUGGACGAAGAACUCGAGGCAUUGUGGACACUAGCUUUCCUCUUUGGAUCUCCCGCUUGGCUGCCUAUCGAGGUAGACCCUGUCGACUGAGGCUUGUAAGUGGCUGCCCAUGCUAAUAGGAUUCCAAAGUUGAGGCCAAAGCCACUACGCACCAUUGUCUUGAUCGUGCGCGGGGCUUCAUCACGGCAACUAAGACUGUAAAAAGCGGGCAAUGAGCACAUCGAAGGCAAUCUUACUCGAGAUGCCACGAUUGAGGCGAGAAAAGGCGUGAAAUAGGUCAUUGAAGGCAAAUAGGGAGGUCUUGGUGUGACGUUGCGGAAGUAAGAAAGAAAAAGGGAGAAAAGAGGAAAGAAUAACGAAAGAAAAGAGAAACAAUGCCUUGUACGAAAAUGUCUCUAUAAUAUUUUGAAAUUGACAAAAUAUUCUAUUUCUAAUUAUAAUUUUUUUUGUUAACCGAGGAACUGCUGGAGAUCAUCCGUCGAGACCUACAAGUCGCUAUUUAGACGUAAAUCUCGGGGAAGGCUAGCCCAAGACCCCAAGACCCCCCACUUUAGACAUUUUAGCAACAAGAGGGUUCAAACCCUUGACCUCUGUGAUGAGAGAGAGAACUCACACCAACUGCACUACCUGUGGCUGGGUUUCUAAUUAUAAUUUUAUAGAUGUAAAUGUUGUCUUAUUUCAAGUAAUGUUGAUAUAAGGGACGCUCUAUCACCAUUGAUGGAAUUUGAAGCAUGAAGAUUACUAGAAGCCGAAUGGAUCAUGAUAGAGUGUAAACAGGUUUAGAAGAAUGGGAAGUUCACAAUAACUUAGAGGUAUCGUGAUAAGGUGAAUAAUGAGUGAAGUCUUGAACAUUAGUGUACCCAUGGAUAGCAAUACGCAAGUCAAUUGCUGAUAGAAACGGCUUAUUAUAUCAGCUAUGAAGAAAAAUAUUUUUCACUAGUUCAAGCAAUCUGGAUAAGAAGACCAAUGUUCUUUUCACUUAAUUUGCGAGUUAGAAGUUAUAAAUAGCUAGCUUUCAAGGCUUGGAAUCUCAAAGUGAAGAUAUGGAGAGAAAUCAAUUUGAUUGUUACCUAUGUUACUCAAUCAAUUAGAAGAAUAGAUUAUUGAGCCACAUAGCUUAUUCUAUUUAGGGAAACCUCAUUAUUACCUAGAAGAUUUGAUCAUAUGGGUGACCGGAUCUCAUAAUAAUUGCGUUCGUAAUUUCAAAGGCUAAUUGAUCCUCUUAAGGAUUCUCUAACAGUUAAUUUGGAGGCUGAAGACUAUAUAAGAAGAUUGAUACACGCUGAAUAAUUUAUGUAAAACUAAGAAAGUUGUAAGUAUCGAUGUGGUCACAUUCUUUUUAUGUUGUAAGCAUGAUUUUAUUCACUUGUGAUCUACUCCUUUGAGAGUUGUCAUUGUUCAGUGUAAUUUGUAAUUUGAGGAGUGUACAAGUAUAGGUAGUGCUUGUCUAUUGAUAGUGGGAUCUAUCAAUUUUGGAUAGAAGCAGCACUUGCUUUGGUGUAACCACUAACUAGAAUAUUAAUAGAUUCCAGCCUAUUUGUGGUGAAUAAAUGCGCAAACUUGUUAUAAACCAAACCACCAUAAAAUCUGCCAGCAUUGUAUUUUAUCUCUUUACUUAUUUCACCAUUUAUCUUAUAGAAAUAUCUUGCAUCUUAUAUUAUCCAUUGUUUUUGCAUCUAUCAAAUAUAGUUUAAGUAAUUCCACGAAAAAGAAGAAAAGAAAAAAAAAUUUGAAAAUCAGUUUAUUCACCCCCUUUGGUUGUAUCAUCAGCCUCCACAAAAAAUGCCACGUGAGGUGCACAUGCUUAAUGAGCGAUGAUAGUUGGUUUGUAAGCUAGGAGUGAUUUGAAACUUGUGAUUUGAAACUUAGUUGUUCAUUUUAAAGACUAAUUUGAAACAGGGUUCACUUUGAAAACUUUUAGAAAGAACGACUUCCCUUCGUAAAGGCUGUUUGAAAAUUUCUCGAAAAGUUUGCCAACUCUUUUGGGGAAUUAAAACUUCAAUGAUUAUUAAAAAAAAAAAAAAAGCCUUUCAUUUUGAUCAGUUUCGAGCAGUUUGAAUGAUUACCCAUGUGACUAGGCAGUGUUCUCAUGGAAAAAGGACCAAUUACGGCAUCAACCAACCUCUCCCUUCUUGGCAUAUUGAAGCUUGCAAUAAGAACACAUAUUAGAUUCACAAGAAGCACCUGUGAUUUAAACAAAAAGAAAAGAAAAGAAACAUGGAACAUAUCUUGUAAGUUCUAGUUAAAAUUUGGUAAUGUAAAGCAUUUCGGAAAGUUCUUCUCAUUAAAACUGAAAAUGAACUUUCGCACUAUUAACGCUUCUACUUAUACAUAACUGGUGACCACACACACACACACAGAGUUUGUGCUAACUUGAGAAAAGAACACUGAAAGGACUUCGAUACAAUGGUGAAAAAGAUAGAAACUACAACAUAUGUACAAGCAUAUUCCAUUGACCCAUCAAAACCUAGUUUAUGACUUGGAUUCUCUCUUCCUUCCUGUUUCCAGCAUGUACCUUCAUGCCAUCAAGCAAAAAGUCGCUUCACUUCAGUAUCUCUCUCCAAUUAUGCAAGAGCUGUAUCAUGUCAUCUGGGUCACAAUAAAACAGCAGCAACAAGGACUCUAAUGUCCAGCUUAAUAACAAAACGAAACCCAAAGGGACAAGAAAGUAACAGAAAGGGCAGCGCGGGAGUCCAUGAAAAUUUAGGGCAUCAGUCCUCCCGCUUGCUCCAUGAGUUCACUUGUGUACCCGUUCCAUCAAUCAGACUCUCCAGUUCAAGAUAGAUUCCCGUGUCAUUCAACGUCAGGUGGUCUUCUACUUCUAUGUUGUCCGCAUCGGCGCCAAUAACCACGUCUUCCUUGAGGAGUUUCUCGGAAAUCCCUUGGAAUACCGAAGACAAAUCAGAUGAGCUAGCUCCGGUCAUCUGAUUGGGCGUCUGGCCCUGCGCAACCCUGAAAUCUUCACCAUCCAUCGAAGGCCGCGGAUUGUGCAUCUGAAAGGUGCCAAAAUGCUCCGGCACAACACUAUUUGGCCGACGCUCCAUCUGUGCCAAAUCGUCACUGAUUUUCAGGCAAUCAACUUUUGGGCUUUGAAUCAUGUGAUCCAUUGCUUCUAGCAAGCAUUUGGUGGCUUCAGCAUCGGGACCAAGCAAUUCUCUCUUCUUGCUCGAUUCACAGGUCUCUAAAUCUCUCUUCUGCUUCUUCUUCAGGGUUAAAUUCAGGAUAAAGUUGGGGCUUUUGACUGCUUUUAUGAGGAAGAGGAAUAAGUGCUGGUUCCUGCAGUCGGCAUGGCGAACCCCUUCAGCGACCUGCUUGAUCUCAUGCUGCAAGUUGUCCUGCUCUUCUCUUAGCUUAAGGAUCUUGGUCUUCAAAGCUUCCUGGUCCUUCUUAAGCAUUUUGAGUUCCGCUUCCUUUUCAGCUUUCUGGUAAUCAGAGGUGACAGUACUACUCGAUUUUUUUCUAUGCUUGUUUAAGUUGCGUCUCCUCUUUAUGUUCUUCAGCAAAUGCUUCUUCCCUUUCUGAAAAACUUGGUUUGCAAACUCCCAUCGAUCUGGAUUGAUCUUCCUAAAACCCUGCGACACAUUUUUAAUUAUGAUGCAUGAAGAAUAGAAGAUAGGAAGAAGCUAUGUCUAGGAGUUCAUAAUGAACCAAAGGCUAAAGAGUAGAAAAUAAGCAGAAUGAAGGCCAAGGAAGUUUCAGUGGAAGAUGUGCACAGGGGGUAUUACUAGGCCAAUAUAGAAAGUACACGGAUUAUAAUGCACGUCAAGAAGAGAUCGCUUACAAAUAUCCAAAUACCAGUACAAAGAGUGGAAAAUUUUAAGAGUAAAGGCAAACAACUCAAAAUCAAUCUAGCUACUACUAGAUAUAAUAUGAAUACAACAGUGCAGAAUUAUGCUUCUGGUCUUGCCCAAAAAGAAGAAAGGUACUACAAAACACCGGAUAGAAACAAAGCAAUGGCCAAAGGAAACUUGUCUUCAGCUAGAAAGUACAUAAUGAAGAAUUAAAGCUGUAAAAUGCAAAAUACUAACCACUAUAAGGGAAUUGCUGUAGCGUAUUUCUAAAUCCAGUACAAAGAUAAUCUCUAACUGGUGAUUUGAUGUCAUGGUUGACAUGGUAGUUUCUGCAAACUACCGUCUAAAGCAUUAUCACUUGAAUAUGAUGAUUACUGAGGGCCUAAUAGGGGCCAUUGUCCACUGGCCACUCGAUGUUUUUGUGAACAUGUGCCACAUGAUUCACGAAAUUUCUUAGAUAAUCUGUGUAUCUCGCCCACCAUUUCAGGUUUCUUGGUUCCUCGUCCCCUAAACUAGGGCACAGCACAAAUAGUAACCGAGAAAGUCAAAGUGGGUUAAAUUAAGUCUGGACGCCUGAACAAACGUUUUAAGAGGACCACGCUCUCGACGACAUCAAAAAAGAACCGAAGAGUUAAACCAAAACGCUCAUACACAGACAUACUUUAUACAGAUCCAUACAAAAGAUAAUGACCGCAACAAAUAACAUAGGUUUGCUCAUAUCAAAACAUGAAGAAGUACCGACAUAAGUGUUGAGCUGCCUGAUGAAGCUGGAGAAGUUGGAGUGCUUGAAGUAUCGAGGCAGGACCUCCUUCGAGAACUGCUGCUGAUCCCACACCACGAAGCUAUCCUGGCUUAAGCCCCACGACACCACUGGAUCUGUACCCGGGUUCGACACCAUCUCGUAAGUCUUCCUCAGGAACGGCGUUGGCCCCACCACCCCCAGAUCCUCCAUCGGCUUUGCCAUAUCGUAUUCUGCUGCCGGCCAUGAGCAUGACGGUGAUAAAAUGGCCGCAUCCCUGGGAUCAGCAGUGGUCGCCACCUUCUCCUUUUCCAAUUCCUCCUUGAUCUUCACCGCCUGCAUGGCCAGAGCCGAACAGAGUUCGGGCCGGGUCAGGCAUGAAUGCAAGGGCGGUCCAGCUUCAAUUUUGCCAUCGCCAAUGGCUACUUGUGGCAAUGGACCCGAAUGGGAAAGCAACCCACAGCAUCCUAGCUCGCUUUCACGGGCCUUUGAUUGUGACCGAGAAGAAUCGUUUGGGCUUAAUUCCGGGUACAAGGGCGACCGGGACCCUAUCUCGCCAUGGUCGCCGCCAUCAAGAACAGCGAAGGACGGGAUUUCUUCCCAUGACCUUGCGAAAGUUUUUGCCUUUUCUAGCUCAAGACUUGAAUCUCGAAAGAAGGUUUCGGAAAACCAUGGGCAAGAUCCAUUGGCACGGCCGGGGGAACAACCGCAAGAGCCGCCGUGAAAUGCCGUCAUCAAUUUUAGCUUGAGUUCAGGGUUUUUUUUCCCCUUUUUUUUUUUGGGGGGGGGUGGGGGGUCAGGAGCUCGAGUUCUGGUUCAGAAGGUGGAGAUAAUAUGAGCAAAUUUCAAGCGAAUGAACAUACAUGGUAGGGUUUCGAGAGACGGUAAGAGAGAGCUUGACUUGAAAAGUGGAGUUUAAGUCCAGCGGGCGACGGGCAAGGGCGAUGGCAUGUGGACUUACAUACUCGUGAGAAAAGCAAAUUGAUAAGCUGACUGCACCGUUACCCUGGAAGAGUGACGGUGGUGCAGUCACUGCCACGUAUUAUUCCAAGGGAUGUGGGCCCCUCCAACAGAUUUAUUGUAUGUGCUCCUGCGAGCCGAGGGCCACCACGUUUUUUUUUGUCUUUUGCGUCUCGGGGAGGCUUUUCUGUCACCAUUUUAGCGGCAGAUAUUUUAAGAUUUAUUAAUUCCAUCUUUACGUUUUUUUAAUAUUAAAAGAUUAAGGUUGUUGGAUGAUUAUUAAUUCUAUUUUUUUGAAGUUUCUUAAUAUUAAAAGACUCGUGAUAGAGUCGUUGAUAACAUGAAUUGAUGUCUAACAUUGUUUGGACGAAAAAGAUAAUCAAAGCCAUUUUUUUAACGAACAGGUUGACUUGUAUAAGUGAAUACAGAAAAUCUCGUGACGAUAGUGUCAUCAUAAGAUAUAGCAUAUCUUGUUCCUAACAAAUCCUUUUCUUGGAUUAUAACAAGGCUAUUUACAUUCAUCUAGUCUCUGGUCAUAUAUAACUUUAAAUUUUUAUAUUGGAUUUUCUAAUAUAGUAUCAGGUUCAAGUUUCUUCCCAAUAUAAUUCAUUUGUGCAAGUAAUCCUCAUCGCUAAUCCAUCAAUUUUAAUUAACAUCAUAUAUAUAGUCUUGUGCUACCUAUAAUUUAAAUUCUCUUUUUUAGAAGUAAUUUUUUUGGUUUUUAAUUUUUAUUUUUGAAAGUGUCUUCCUCAAUAAUAAAAGAAAGAGAAAUGAUUGAUUCAUAAUUUUUUUAAUCUAAUAGGUUUUGGGUCACAAAAAAUCAAAUAAUAAGUAAUUAUAAAUUAUUAUGAGGUCCACUCCUAAAGGAAUUUGUGACUUAUAACAAAUAACUUAUGUGCUAAUAAAAUUCUAAAAGAAAAUAAUGAGGGAAUAGCCACUAAGUGAGUGAAGAGCUCUCCAAUGGCAAAUAAGGGUGAGCAAAAGGAACCAUUCAGAUUGAGAAUCGCUCGAAUGGAACCGAAUUGGCUGGUUUAGGCGAUUCCCUUGAUACUGAACCAAUUCCAUAAAAUUAGAAUAAGUGACCAAGUCAAAUCUUUUUGCUUUCUUAAAAUCUGUAUUCAAUAAAAAAUAAAAAUAAAAAGUCCUAAUAUGGAGAGAGAGAGAGAGAGAGAGAGAGAGAGAGAGAGAGAGAGGGAGGGAGAGAGAGAGAGAGUAUCGUUCUUUAACCCACUUAACAGUGGGAGUCUUAGCCUUGUAGAUGAGACAUCUAUCAAAGAUAUCAUGCAUGACGAAUCAAAAAGAGAGAAAAAAAAUAGGCAACCAAAUUUAUUAGAUCACUUAGAAAUUGGACCAAUCAAUUCAAUUUCAAAAUCAAAUGAUUUGAUUCUCAAUUGAAGAGAAUUGGGAACUGAUCCCAUUGGUCCGAUUCUUAAGUGGAAAUUGGACUGAUCGGGAACUAAUUAUCCCUUAUAGAUUCCCACAAAAAAUAGAAAGACAAAAACAUCAAUGGGUCUCCGGAAAAACUGAGAAUAUAAAACAAGAGACACGGGGAAAGGACCAGUCGAGAAUCUGUUCUUUUUCCACACAUCUAGGGAGGUACGGACUGGGCAACGAUACAGGUCUUAUUACUUAGUCAUGAUUGGAUGUUUGUUAUCGACCCGUGGGCCAAGCGUCGUUUACUUUAGUUGCCAUCUCAACAUCUUACUUUCGUGUGACAUGACAAUCAAAGCGUCUUUCCUUUUCUGCUUUAUCUUUGUUUUAUGCAUUUGGAAGCCAUCACGAAACCUAAUUUGUACUCGUAGUUACACUUUUGUUUUUUCUAGAGCUGCUGUGGCGCCACACGAGCACCACGUGAAAAAUUGAAAAGAAAAGGAACAUUUCAAAUAAUAACAUCGGCAACACCGAUUCGUUAUCAGCUCGAACAAUGAUCCAAGCAUGAGCUAAGCCCAGUGACUUUACCUCUAAUCCCUCAAGAUUCUCAACUCUCAAGCCUCCAUAUAAAUUGCAGACUCUUAGGCUGAAGCUAUUGCUAUGGUCAGAUCUAGCUUUGAAGCUUGCCGCGGCUAGAUCAUCAUAAAGGACAAUCGCUCCUCCUCUCUGUCUCGCCCCUCCGAAUACGCUUGCAUAGAUAAUGAAAUUUGAGAUUUGAGAGAAAGCGAUGAUCAUCUCACAGGUGGUCAAACGAGGGCUGACCAAGGCCACCAAAGGUUUUGGCGACAGUGGGCAUUGACGAACGAGCGCCAAAGGAAUUUUGGCCAAGCAAUCGUGAGCUUGAAGACGAUGAAUAGUAACUUCAAAGACAAUGAACAAUAACUUUACAAUGAACAUUAACUGCGAAUUUACUUUUUGUUAAUCUUUUUUCUGACAAUUACAUUAGUGCCCCUUCCUUGAAAAGAAAUUAUUAAUGUCACGUCAAAUUCAUAUUAGAUUUUUAACUUUAAUGAGGUGUAAAUAUUUCACUCAGAGUAUAAAUUUGGAGUUCUUGGUAUCACGAAUAAAAUUUUGAAUAGAUUUGUCACAAUGGGCAUUAUGCUGCAUAGGAACAACCAAGUUAAAUGUUGAAUAGCGCUUCUAGCUAAGUACAUAUCUAUUGGAUCUUGUUUUUGUCCUUCUACAAUUUGGAAGAGUAGUAAAUUGUUCUCUUCGUUACACGCACAAAAGUCUACAAAUUGAGUCAGUCGCAAUGGCGUCCUUGGAUUUUUUUUCAUGUGUUCAUUACGUAUUUGGAGAAGCAGUAAACUAUUCUCUUAGGUGCACUUUGUUUUGAGGAAAACAUUUUUCUCAUUUUCCAAGAAAUCGUUUUUCUAAUUUUCUAGCAUUUGAUUUAUUUAGAAAAAUGAGUUAACAUAAAUAUUUUCCUACCCAAACUUAAGUUCAUGAAAAUGAUUUUUCCUUUAAAGACUAGAAAACAUUUUCAAAAUGUUUCUCUAGUCUAGGANNNNNNNNNNNNNNNNNNNNNNNNNNNNNNNNNNNNNNNNNNNNNNNNNNNNNNNNNNNNNNNNNNNNNNNNNNNNNNNNNNNNNNNNNNNNNNNNNNNNCCAUUUUACUUCAUUUUCUUUCUUUUUUCUUUUUCGCUUCUUUUCUUUCUUUUUUUCUUUCUUUUUGUUCCUCCUUCCCCUUCUUACUUCGCAAGUGAUGAUUGGCCAAGACACUAACCGGUGAGCCGACCAGCUUGGGCUCACCAAAUCCAAGCAAGCUCGAGCUCACCAGCCCAAGGUUCAUUGAGGCCAACGAGCUCACAGCUCACCAAAUCCAAGGGAGUCUAAGCUUGGCCUAGGCUGGCGAGCUCGGGGAUCGCUAGAUCCAGGUGAGCUUGGGCUACAUGGAGGUCAGCAAUCUCACACCUCACCCAGUCUUGGCGAGGCAGAGUUGUGGCCAUCACCUGCCGAUAGUGGUGGAGGAAGGGAGAAAAAAGAAAAUAAAAUAAAAAGGAAAGAGAAAAAGGAAAAUUUUAAAAUAAUUUAAAAUUUCAUUUUUCAAAAGAAAAUAAAAAUAAAAGGAGAGAAAUAAAAUAAUUAAAAAUCGAAUUUUUAUAAAAAAAAUUAAAGAACUCAAACUUUUUUUUUUGCAUAAAAUAAAGUCAUGAAAUAGAAUAUCAUUUUCCAAUAAUAUCCAAAUAACAGAAAAUAUUUUUGAUCAUAUAUCACCAAAUAAAAUAAAACUAACCAUAUUUCUAAAAAAUGUUUUACCGAGAAGCAUUUUAUUAUAUCAUUGAGUUCUUAUGAUACAAACGCAUCCCAAAAUGAUUUUGGUUACUUGUUAUAGGUGUGUGUUAGGACUGAUUUUACAAACUCAAAGGUGGGACUAGUUGAACAUAGGGUGAGGCAUUUACAACAUAGGGUGCCAAACUUCUGGGGAUAAAAGUUAACACCCAAUCAGUAGCUCAUCUGUCAAUUGUCAUUUUAACUACGUAACUUGUGAGCAAACAACCUAUUUUCUGUUAAUGUAAAAAUAGAGUACACUUAUUCAAGAAAAGCGGAUUUGAACACUAACAGCGAAUUAUCUACAACAAUCAAUUGGACAAAAAACUUAUUGCUUAUUUUAAGUUCACCAAGUCUAAAGCCUCAAUGAAGGAAUAUGAAUUUUCCUUUUAGUUGCAGUGAUAAACUUAUACAAACAAGCACAAGAUAAUGUGGUGUCUUCUCCGCACGUGUCGCCACAAGUUCUUCAGUUCGUUUCUCCUAAUAGGCUUAACAAGAUAGUCGGCAGCACCUCUUAACAUGCACCUGUACACCAUGCAUCCUGUGUAGACAUCACUGCAAUAUUCCCAUAGAUAAUACAUAAGUCAUUGUUGGACCAUGACACCAGUAAAGAAAGCCAUGCAUAGAUAGGUGAGACGUACUUAUGACUGGAAUAUUUUGCAUACGUUAUGCUCCAUAAUUAGAGUAAGAAGAGCAUAUCAAGAUAUUGACGACAAAUCCACUUCAGUCAAUAUGAGAUCUAUGUUGUGGUCUUUCCUUCGGUAACUCCCACGCCUUCAAAGCAUAAGGAAUAGCUAAAACUGCUCAACAAAACGAUAAAGUCGUUUGCAUUACGAAGGUAACACGUUAAUGUGCAUAAAGGAAAAAGAAGGUCCUAACAAGCAUAAAAAGCAACGAAUUAAGUUCCGAACUAAUCUCCAAAAAUCGACUUUCAUCAUUACCAUUCCACAACCAAGUUUCCCAAACAGCGCAAAAGAAUUCUACCUAUUUACUUUGAUGUUCCAGUAUAAAUUCAUGAUUAUGUUCGGGAACAUACUCUAUGGCUCCAUAAACGCUAAUCUCAAUCUUAAAUCUAAUGAAAGCUCAACAACCACAUCUAACUUUAAGUCUUUUAUAUGUUCUUUCUUGACCAGAUAAGUUGAUUGUACACCUCUCACAAUUACACACAAAAGUUCCAUCAAUUUAUUUCUCAUUUUUUUGUUUUGUCUAGUCUUAGCCUUCCCCACUCCAAAUUUUUUACCUAUUGCAUACGUCACAUAUUUAUGAUAUGCUUCAAGUUCACUUGCAAAAACUAUUCGUUACCGUAAAUUCAAAACCUUUUUUCAAAUCAUGAGUUACAUCUGCUAAAUAUUCAGUUUCAUGCUGCAAGAGAAGAACAAAAAGUAUUUAAUGUAGUGAGUUACAGGAAAAAUAACAUCUCAUCAAUUUCUUGAGAAAGCAAAUAUAUUAUAAAUAGUAUGAGUUUAGGAUUACCUAUUAUUCAACCAUCAAAUAAUGUUGCACGUGCGAAUUAAUUGACUGAUUGCGAGCGAACCUCUGUUAGCAGGAGUUUUUGCAGGCAAAUCAGGGAGAGAUUCCACAAGACGGAGUAAUGCAGCACCAGCAGUUUAGGGCAUGGCCCAAUCAAGGACCAACCUUCUUGCUCGGCCUUUGCGAGCGCGAAGGUCGCGAGGGCGGGGCUUCUCGAGGAAAAGCCGCCGAUGGGGCUCUGGAGGCGGAGGCGAGCGCCUUCUUACUGCGAAUCAAGACAUCUUUGACAAAAAUGAGGUUCCCGUAAAUUUACAGAAAUUAGUGGCGGAACUACACUAUAUGUCCCCAUGUCAAAUAACUGGAACAGCAUGUAUCCAGACAAUACAAUAAAUUGAAACAUGAGGCCUCUUGAAUUUAUGCAAAUGACACCUUGAAAAAGCACAAGAUGUGUGAAUGAAAACAAAAAUUUAAGUAGAAACAUCACAGACCAAAAUAAACACCCGAAGGAGUGGAGGUGGGUCAACUUGUCAACAAUUUCACAUAAAAAAUUUGAGAGCCUCGUGGUUUUGUACUUUGGUCUAUAGGUAAGCACCUUCCCAAGAGGUCACCCAUCCUAGAGGGCUCCCUCUUGAGCACGUUUAACUUUGAAGUACCAAAGCUAAGCUUUCAGUUACGUCAAAAUGCGUGUUUGAGAAUUAAUUUCAAUUUUCAUAUAUAUAUAUACUAAAAUCGCUCCCCGUAUUCAUUGCACAGUUCGGUUCAAUCCCACCACCUUCGCCAGCCUAUAAGCCUGCUAGUGUUUAUACCUGAAUUUUGGCUGACAAGUCCUAAGUUUUAAAAAAAUAUAUAUAUCAAACUUUGGGAAUUUUAAUUGCAAUGGAACCCUUUUCUUGGCUAAAAAGGGUCGUAAGAGUCCUUAGAUGUCGUUUUGCUAAAAAGUCAAAUUUUGACUUUCAAGUUAACUUUAUGGUUAAACAUGUUAAAAAAAAAANNNNNNNNNNNNNNNNNNNNNNNNNNNNNNNNNNNNNNNNNNNNNNNNNNNNNNNNNNNNNNNNNNNNNNNNNNNNNNNNNNNNNNNNNNNNNNNNNNNNAACCAAUGGAGAAAAAGUCUAUAUUGGUGGAAAUAGCAAAGGAAGAAUUAUUGGAUGAGGAACAGUAAAAGAUUGGAGGUCUCACAAUCAAUAAUGUCUCCCUCCCGGGAGGGGGGGGGGGCUGAGGAUCCACAUGUGAUUAAUCAAGACCUAAGGGGUUAGAUUGCAAUUGAACCAGCAAGUUGGUUCCAAAAUGCAAUCUACAAAGUUGGGGGACCAAUUUGCAAAACUUAAAAUUAUGCCCAAGCCCUUAAAUCAUCAUUUUUAUCAUUUUGACCCCUAUUUAAGCUUGAAAUUGAACUUGGCCUGGCUUGAAUUAAUCUAAUCAAGCCACAAGGACCAAUUUGGAUCAAGUUGGUCAUUUUUGAGCAAGAAAAUGACCAAUUUUGAGGGACUUUCUUACAAAUUGGAUAGGAAAAAUUGCAAAGUAUAGUAAGAGACAAAUUAAUAUAUAUGAAUGUGCCAACUCGUCAAAAAAUUGAGAAAAAUUGAUGGAUUAAAACCUUUAAAAUAGCUACCAAAAUCCAAUAUGUGAUUUGGCCACAAUUCAAAGCGAUUAAGUAAAUAAAUUUGUGGCCCCACCAUAUCCCACUUAGCUCCCAAUCAGCCUAAUCUCUGGCGAAGGUGGAAUGCUCUCAUUAAGAGUGCAAAUGGACAAAAUUUGGCUAGGGAUAAGUUGCUGAAGACAUGUGAAAAUCGUAGCCAAAGUUGUUCACUCAACAGCUGCAAAAGUUUGAAGAUUUCACUGUUGGGGAGUUGAUAGAGCAACUCAGUUGGCAAGCUUGUCAUGUGGGCAAGGCAAGCUAAAGGUUGCUUAAUUCAACAAAUAAUCUCUCAAAAGCAAGCUAUUUUGAGGCAUAAAAGGUUGGAGACAAGAGAGAGCUCAUGAUUGUCCCCUAAAAGCACCCCCAUGAGCAACUCAAAAAAGACCUUAACCUAGAAAUUUCAGAGCGACCUUCAGAGAAAAAAAAAAACGAAAUUUUCAUGAACUUCCAGCUAAAACUAGUCAAAAUCUUCAAGUAGAUUGUGAAAUUAUACUCAAAUAUCUUUCCAAUCAUAGGUUACACGUCAAAAAUGGUGGUCAAGAAGGCACUCAAAAGCCUCUCGAAAAUUGUGUUACUUUCUGGGAGGGGUUGACACCCAGAAAUUUUUUUAUAAUGUAAUAGGUAGAUGGUUAUUGGCGAGGCAAAACAAAUGUUUUUGAGGAAAAUAAGGGACAUUUGAGGCAAAAGGUUAAUUUUAGAUUGAACUACAGUACAUAUAGUUGGAGUAAAUGUCAAAGGAAUUGACAAAAUGGGUCUUCAAACUUGGUCAAGGUGGCUAACCAAAGCCUUCGUUGUUGGUUUUCGUCUCCGCGAGUCUCAUUUUCCAGCUUGAAGGGGCCAACUUCCAAGUGCCUUUAGAGGACAAUUUUUUGGCUUCGUCUGCCAAGAGAUACUUCAUACAGAAAUUAGGAAGAAAGGUAAGGCGCCUAGAUGAGUUUUUGUUCAAUGCAGACAGUGGUUUGACCAUGGGAAAUCUAAAGGAAAGCCAGCCAGGCAAACUAAUUUCUGAGGCUGGAAUUUUUCCCAAUGUUGAAGCCUCUUCCAAAAGCCAUGCAUUUUUGACUUGGUACCCCACUUUGCAUGCAUUAUCUGUCUUCAUUAGCUUGAUGAAUGUUAUAAGUAAGUGCAAAUGAUGCUUGGUCAACUUGAUUUGGUCUUUAAAUCUCCAUGUGAACCAUGAAGAAUUUGAACUGAAAGCUUAGCCAAUCCACAAGUUCAUGGCUGGCCAAUGUGGAAGGUUACUUUGAAAGGUUGGUUUGAUGUGCGUGUUUGACCAUUCUUUGAUGUAUUAAUCAUGUUUGAAAAUUCAUGUUACCAAAUUUCAUUUGGAUCGAGUGUAUUUUCCCAUAAGUUGCAUAUGUGAUGAGUGAUAGGGCUUGAACUUGAGCAUGCAACUUGUUUACUUGACCUGAGUUCAAACCCAGCUUUACAAAAAUAGGUUAGAUCCACACAUUUGAGGCUAAUUGCAGUUGUGUUAUUGUGUGGUUUGGGCUCUAAAUUCUAUCUAAUAUUGUUCUUUGAAUGUAUUAGUAUAAUUUUAAUGCUUUAGUUCCAUUUAAGAUUGCACAUGGGUCGAGAUUGAAGGCCAUGAAUAUUGCUCAAGGAAGCUAUUUGAGGCAAUUUAAUGUGCGCCAACUAUUAGACAAAAUGCCCAAAUCAAGUUUCAAUCUUGAGAUGGUCAAUUGAGCUUGGUUAUUGUGAUAUUCAUAUUAUGAGUUGAUCAAACAUGGAUCGCCUCAUUGAAUUGAUCUUUCUUCCCCUUUUUUUCUGAAAAAAAAUUGAGAAUCCAUAACGAAGGAUAAAAUAUUUAGUAGUUUGUAACCACGGUGUGAGUGAGCUUAGUCAGCUCUACUCAAAAGAUGACACGUGUCCUCUAACAUGGACAAGGAUAGGGAUGGAAAAUAAAAAAUUAAAAUCCAAGCUUUCUUUUUUAUGACCAACAGACAAACUAGUGAGAUGAAAAUGGACAAAGCCAUAAAUGCUAACAUUUAAAAGUAAAAUAGAAAUGCAAAAGGGGAGAGAGAGCAAGUGAAGAAGCCCUUGGAAGUUGAAAAGAAAAAAAGAGAGUUCUAGAAACGUAAAAGGAAGGGGGGGGGCAUAAAAGGUAGAAGCCCUUGGAAAUUGAAAAGAGGAGUGAAUUAAGUGGGUGUUUAGCUAUUAGCAUAUGUUGUAUCGUCAUUUUCACCUCACCUAUGAAGAAAAUAUUAGGUACCUUUAACAAUUCCAUGUCAUUUUUACUUUGAACUACUCAGGCAACUGACAGCUGUCCAGCAGGGGGGGAGGGCAUAAAAGGUACAAGCCCUUGGAAAUUGAAAAGAGGAGUGAAUUAAGUGGGUGUUUAGCUAUUAGCAUAUGUUGGAUCCUCAUUUUCACCUCCCCUGUCAAGAAAAANNNNNNNNNNNNNNNNNNNNNNNNNNNNNNNNNNNNNNNNNNNNNNNNNNNNNNNNNNNNNNNNNNNNNNNNNNNNNNNNNNNNNNNNNNNNNNNNNNNNNNNNNNNNNNNNNNNNNNNNNNNNNNNNNNNNNNNNNNNNNNNNNNNNNNNNGGGUGUUUAGCUAUUAGCAAUAUGUUGUAUCGUCAUUUCACCUCACCUGUCAAGAAAAUAUUAUGUACCUUAACAGUUUCAUGUCAUUUUUACUUUGAACUACUCAGCAGCUGACAGCUGUCCAAGCAGGUCUACAUUGUCCCAAUUCAAACAAGCGCAGGCAAAGGGUAGAGUGUUCUCUUUCCUCUUUAUCUUCUCUCUCCUCUUUACCUGCUCUCUCUUCCUCCUCCUUCGAUGCUCUCUUUGCACUUUACCCCGACACACUGAAUCUUCCUCUCUAGCGCUUCCUCCAACGACUAUCGCUCCCUCCCGAUGAUGGCCUUUCUCUCUCCACUAGAUGGCCUCAUCCUCUGGGUUGCAUUCUCUCGGUUCACUCCCGUGACCUCUUUCUUCCCAAAUCACGCUCUCUCCCGAUGGUCGUUUUCGCUCACCUCUCUCCGUCCCCCCUGACUCAUGAACGAGAAGCUGGGCCCGUUUGGUUCAACUUUGGGGAAAUGCAAAGCCAUUUCCCCAGGUAUCUUUAGAAGAAUGGGCAUUGGGUGAAUGUUGAAGUGUUUAGGUACUCUUAUUUUGGUAUUUGCAUUUUGCAAAGUAGCUUUGAGGUGAAAAAGAAAAAGGAAAAAAAGAAAAGGAGUAAUGAGGAGGAGAUGUUGAAGUAGAGGGGAACGGUUAGGAGGCAGCCGAAGCUAGUGGGGGAGGCGGCCGGUGGCUGUGGUGGGGGAGGCGACUAGUGGUAGUGGUGGUGGGGAGGCGACGAGUCACGCGACGGCAAUGCGUGGGCGGCUAGAUUUGGCUGGUUGAGCAUCGCUCAGCCCAUCAUGUGGGUCACGCGACCCAAGCGACGCCACAUGAGGCCAUGACCCCCGCGAUGGCGGUGUAUGGCGACGACGGUGUGUGGGCGACCAGAUCUAGCCGGCUGAGCUCCAUCAACUAAGCUUCACUCUUGAAGCUUCAAGACCAACAAGGAAGACGAUGAACAGUAGUUUUUAAGGGUAAAACAGGAAAACGCAAUUAUCAGUGAGGGCAAUAUAAGAAGAAAAAAAAUUCAUUAAACCCCCACUUCAGCAUUCCACAGCAUUCUAAAUGCUAGCAUUUGGCCAAGAACACCCCCAAAUGCUUAACCAAAUGCUUAACAUUUUUCCCAAUGGGCUUUUGGGGCUGAAAGCCCCUUGGGAAUGUUGAACCAAACGAGCCACAAUCACUCUGCCCUCUUGUCUAAUCUUCCAUCAACGACUUGCUUUCUGCUCAAAGCGGUCCCUCGAGAAGCCCUAAAUCAGCCACCACAAGUCAAGUUCGAAUUUAUUUCUUGGGUUUUUAUGUUCACAUCUUUAUUUUGGGGGAAAAAGUACUUCGAAGCUCGCUGGUUUAUUGCUUCUGAUUCUAAGCACAACAACGAGAGAAAGCUUGGCCUCUCCUACAUAAGCAAACAUUUUAUGGAUGAAAAUUCUUUAGAUUAUUCGACUGGCCUGUUGACUCUUUGUCUAUUGAUUAUCAAUCUAGAUGAGGUUGAUUUUUUUCUUGUCUUGAACUUAUUUAUCUGUGUUAGUCUUCAACCAAGGUAACAUCCUCAUGUCUCUUCUUUCUACUAAGUUUGAAAAUAUAUUUCUUCCACCAAUGGCAUUUUUUUAAAUCGCUUCUAAAUUUUCCUUACCCUCUUUUGUAAUGUCAAUUUUAGUGUAAAAAUCCGUUUUUUCUUCUGGGGAUUAGGUGUGUUAACAUACAAAUAUAUGUAAAUAUGAUGCAGAUGGCCUCUUUAAGUUUGUGCUACAAUUUUUUAUGCAGUGUCUUGUUUCUGCUUUCUUAUUUAUUCCUGCUCUAUUCUUUGUUGUUGAUGUGUUUGUCUUGGUUUCCCGAAUAUGGACAACCUUUUUAGGUCUUUAGAGUUGUGUUUUUCACAGUUGUUAGCGUGAUCCCUUGACUAGAUUCAUGCUAGCGAACUCAAAUGAGUAAAUCUGUUUUAUAUUUGUUUCACAAGCAUUCCAAAGUGUUCUUCUAUCCUGUUAUGCUUCUCUUCUUUGGGUGGGUGUUGCAUUUCGCAGUCCCUCUCUAAUUUGUUUGUCUUGCUCUAUGGAAUUUGUGGCUACGUACCAAUGAUGAGAUGAUUCUUUUGCUGCAUCUUAAUGUAGGUUCAUGAAAUAGCCAUGGUCAUCACUAUUAUGAAAAGCUUAAUCGAAGUCCAUUGGUAUAAUCCACUACCUCAUACGAAAGCUUUUCAUAAUCCGGAGGAGGAGAAUUCUAGAAAACAAUCGAACUGAAGAGCUUGCAAGCCGCUAAAUGUUCUAAUGGUUGAACCCCGUACACACUUUGUAUGUCAUGGGCAGUUAGUAAAUGUUCAUCUCUAGUUGUUAUGAUGAUUUUACUUCCACAACCAAAUCAAUCACAUCCCCCAACUAGUGUUUCCAAUUGGAUCGACUGCUUCACAUCGUCAAGGACAGUGAGGACAUUUUAUUUGGAAAGUCUAUUCUUUAUCAUGCUCGUACCUCCGUGGACAUUGCCAAGCUUCAGACCAUCAUCCCACCUUACCUCGGAAAUAAGUUCCUCUUGAAGCUGAAGGAGGCCACCUUCUGCAAAAUUCUCGUGAGUCUCUCUAACAUUGGAAAGAAAGCUACAACACUCACAUUUGUGAGCAGAAGCGUUGUAAGUAGCUUUUGUAAUAGUCGUCUUCCCUAUUCCUCCAAAUCCACAAAUUCCGACCAUGUGAACCUCAUUCGAUUCCAUGUCUAGCAAAGUAUGCAUGCGGUCCACAUGCGAGUCCAUGGCAACCACGUUUUCGAGAACAUGUAACUGCUUGCAAUCCAGCCGAGCCCAUACGUCAUUGACAAUGCUCUUAAUGGACACGCGAACCCCUGGAGUGCCAUAACUUGGUACAAAGAGAUACUUGAGUGCCAUAACUUACGAAAGUGACACUAGUGCCAAAAUCGGAGAGAAAUGGAUCACUUAAGUGCCACUCCAAUCAAAAUCUAGCCAAAACACUGACGUGUCAAUUUUCCGGUGAAGCGAGUGCAAAACGACACUGUUUUGCACGCUGACAUGACUAAAUAAUGUAAAAACGGCGUCGUUUUGGGAUGACAUGAUACACUGCCCAGGAACCAGUANNNNNNNNNNNNNNNNNNNNNNNNNNNNNNNNNNNNNNNNNNNNNNNNNNNNNNNNNNNNNNNNNNNNNNNNNNNNNNNNNNNNNNNNNNNNNNNNNNNNUCUUUUUGAGAUGCCCCCGAUAAAAAACCAAGGAAAAAUAAAAAUUUGACUAUUAGAAAAACCCCCCAACCCCUGUUGUGGGCGGUGAAGAGUUGGGGAGGCGGCUGAGGGCUCGCAAGCCCUCACCGCCAAGCUAGGGCCCACCGACCUUGGCCGAUCCUCCUCCCCUCUCCGUCGCCGGCCCUUCCUGGCGAUGGCAGGGAGGAAGUGGCGACGCCUAAGGGCUCAAUCCUCAGCUGCCUCCCCUCCUUUUAAUUUUUUUUAAUAUUAAAAUUAUUAUUUUUGAAUAUUUAACUAACUUUAAUUAAAUUAAUUUUUAUAUUAUUUUUUUAUCAUGUCAGCCCAAAAUGAUGCCAUUUUUGCAUUAUUUGGCUAUGCCAACGUGCAAAACAACGUCGUUUUGCACUUGCUUCGCCAGAAAAUUGACACAUCAAUGUUUUGGCCGGAGUGACACUUAAGUAAUCCGUUUUUUUUUUUUGUGUGGCACUUAAGUGUCACUUUCGUAAGUUAUGACACUUAAGUGUCCAUUUAUGCUAAGUUAUGGCACUUAAAGUAUUAUUUUGUCGCUCUUAAUGACAUUAGACUAGCGCCUGGUAAAUUCAAAGAUAUUGGAUACAAAAAGCACUUAACUAAUCUCAAAUAAAAUCAAACCGCGGUCAAUAUCCCAAGCACUAUAGACCACGUUAAACUCAGUUUCAAGCAAUUGACAACUAAAAUAGAAAUUGGAGAGGGACGUGGCCCACCUAGAUGUUUAUAUACUCAACUCACGAUUUGCUUAGUUGCUUGUCAAGAUACAUAAGCUUUCCUGCUUCAAUUAGCGUAAACAGGUUUUUCUCCCAUUUUAUGCAUAAGCAUUGCCAUGAUAGGUGUAAAUGGUUUGGUUCAAUUCGGUUUUUUUAGAAAGCUGAACCGAACUAAACCGAUAAGGAAAUCUAUCGAAUCGAACCAAAAUCAGUUUUUUGGUUUUUACUUAUGCUUUUUUUCCUACAUGCACCCCUUUCAAUAAAUUUUUUAUUUAAAAAAAAUCGAUUUUUAUUUAUUUAUUCUUUUUCUUCUCCUUCUUCAUUGGCCUGUCGCUAGCAGCCACCGUCGCCGGCGAAUAGCCAAUGAAGAAGGAGAAGAAAAAGAAAGAAAAGGAAAAAAAUAAAAAUAAAAAACAAUUUUUUAAAAAGAAUAAAAGAAAAAAUUAAAUGAAAAUAUUUUAGAUUUUUUCGCUUUAGUUCGGUUAACUAAACUAAUAAAAACCGAAAUUUAAAAAAAAAAAUCGGCUUUUAAUGAAAACUAAACCAAAUGAGAAUUCAAUCGAAAAAAAAUUGAACUUUUCGGUUCUGUUUGGCUUGAUUUUUGGUUCGAUUUUCAACAACCCUAUGAAUCUAUUGCCAUGGAAAUUAGUGAAAUUCCGUAACCAACAGUUUUUUUUUUUUUUUGGGCCACAGAACAAACUGUAGGCAUGCUCAGAAGGGAUUAAAUGGUCGGCUUACUGCUUAACCAGAUGCCAGCCGGAGACGUUAGCUGCUUUGGUCAAUGCUUUUCUCCACCUCUUCGCCUUCUCCGAGUCACCGCCGUUCAACUUCAACCUCUCCUCGUGAUCGAUUAGCGCUCGUCCGUACCUCCGCCUCUGCUUCCUCACACCCGAUGGAUCCACCUUGUAGAACACCGGCCACACGAUCUGCCCCAUUGUAUCCCUGCACUCCACGAUUCUCACCAGCUCGUCCAAGCACCAGCUAGAGGACGCGUAGUUCUUCGAGAAGACGACGAUCGAGAUCCUCGACUCCUCGCCCUUCCAGAGCUCCUCCUCGUCCAUGAACGCGGCGAUCCCUCUCUGGUCCAGCGCCGCGUGGAGGUGGCUGGUGAAGCCGUUGCGCGUGUCCAUGCCACGGAAGCUCAGGAACACGUCGUAUCUGUACGGACGGCCGGAAUCCCCGACGACGGCUCCGAAAUUCGCCGGCAUGAUCAUCUCCACGGCCUUCCUGAGCUCCUUGUCGUCCAUGAACGCGGCCAUCCGUGCAUGGUCAUCGUCAAAGGAGCUCAGUAACACUUCGUUUAUGUCUAGAUCGUCCCAUGGCAUCGGGGUCGUGGCGCUCUGGAAUGAAACGAAUUCGCCCUUGUCGAAGGAGCUCGGUGACACUUCUUCUUCGUCAGGAUGGCCGAAGUCCCCGGGCACCCGCUGAAUGGAGGCCCCCCUGUGGAGAGUUUGGGCGAGCGGUUCGGGAUCCGGGAGGCCAUCUCCUCCCAUCGGACCAGCGACCUGACCAGGAAUGGCCUCGCCUGUUGGACUGAAACUGGUUGAUUCACGGCCGGCCAUCUCUAAAUGGAAUGUGUCAGUGUAGGAGACGCGCCCUGGACUGAGGAUCUCUUUGUUUGCGUAGAAAGAAAUUGAUCGUGAACAGAAUUCUUUAUUUUGACUAGGUCAAAGUGGGCCCCAGAAAAAGAAAAAGAAAAAGAAGAGAUAUUUGGGGGGGAAAAGUGGACGCUUAUGUGGCCGAGAACAGCCCACGGGACGAAGAAGGAAAAGAGAAAAAGGAAAAAGAGGAGAAAAGGGGAAUGAAGGAAAGGAAGGAAAAACAGAAAGAAGAGAAAGAAUCACGUCUGCCACGGAGGUUUCGUCAAGUCGAAUCAAUUAGGUAUUACAAUGUCCGGAUUCAAGACCUUCGUUUGUAUAAUCAAAAUAGUUUUCGAAAGUAUGGCACAAUUUAGAAAUCAUAUGACCUUUGAAGACUUGAUUUUUGAAGUGUUAAGUUGAGGGAGUUCAUAAAAAAAGAUAAAUGAGAGCAUUAUAGAGCCUCGGAAUUUGACGGUAGUCAAUUUAGAAUAAAAAUUUAGUCAAAGCGAAAUUCCGAAAUUGGCACUUAAGCUCCGAAUUGUGGACAGAAAGUUUUGUUAGAACGUAGGAGUCAUUUGUUAGCAAGUACACUUGGUUUAGUCCAUUCGUAGUGGAGAUUAUGUAUUUGGUAGCAUUGCGAGUUUGAUGGUUAGAGUAGCCUUCAUUAUUUGGUUUUUGGUAAUUCCAAAUAAGUUGUGCUACCUAUUCUAUAAAUUUUUAAAUUCAUGUCUUGAAAAUGACAAAAAUUUGAUAGAUUAUGAAUUAUGAAAAAGCAUAUUUGUUACCACUAGAUGUGGUGGCUUCGCUUGGGUAGACUUCAGUCAUUUGAGGAAAAGUCAGGAGUUCGAAGCCCCUGCAAUGCAAGUUGCAGGGAGUUAGCGGGCUAUUAGGUGAUUGACGCGUGGUGUCAGGGUUGUGAUUUCCCCGCUAGCAACACAUGGAGGUUUACGUAACGGCUGUCAGCCAAAGCAAUUCCUCCAGCACAAAAAAAAAAAUAAAAGUCAUUUUGAAAUUUUGAAUAUAUUUAUUUGUGGAUCUAGUUUAUCAAAAGAAUUCUAAAAUAGUUUGAACAAAGCCUUGUGAAACAUAUUUUAUUUGAUAAAUUAAGUUGUGAAAGGGAUUAUAAAAAAGUAAUAUGUAUUGAUUUGUUAAAUGCUUCAUGAAAUGCAUUCUAUUCGAUAAAGAAUUCAAUUUGUGAAAUAGGUUUAUGCGAUGAGUUAUGGAUUUGUUUUUUGGGUUAUUGGAGAAUGAUAUUAGUGGAUUAUGCACAUUUUGCUGUGAUCAUAAUCCAUUGAAGGGUAAGUCAAGACGUCUUUUCGUUUUGAACCUCCUACUAAAUAGGUGGAGACAUAAUCAAGGGGCAAACAUUUGUUGCACUUAUCACGGGUGUUAAGUGUGAUUAUGAGCAAUUGAUAUAUGAGUUAAUUAAGUUGAGUAAAUGUUAUGAGCAUACGAGAGACUUGACUUGAAAUAAAAAGCAUAACAACGACUACACCCGAGGGCCCGUAACAAUGCCCUCUCACUUUUACUAAAGCCACUUCAUUUUUCCCUUAUUUGGUUUUCAUACGAUAGAAUAAAGUGCGUCGGACUAUGACAAAAAAAAAAAGAAUAAAAUGUGUCAGAUAAUACUUUUCUCAGGGGAAAAAAGACCUCCUGACUCGGUGGAGUAUGAGAGCAUGGAUCAUCCAAAGUCAGUUCAUGUUUGAAAAUGUGAUGAUGAUCUGAUUGUUGCUUUUUAUAUUCCAUCCAGUCUAGUAAAACUGAGGUCACACGACAAGAUAUGUUUGUUGCCGCUAGUCUCUGUGGAUGACCGGCGGCUUGCAAGCAUUAUGCAGACAAUCAAACAAACCAAACCUUCUGCGAUCAUCGAAAAAUCUCCUUUUAGUUAAGCCGCAUCAAAGGAGGUGGUAAGAGUGGACGUGACAACCGAUGGAGUACUAUGACAACUUAUAUAUGGUCAUGCUUUCUUGAAGGACAUGAGGAAUCGUGCUUGAGGUGAGUUGGAGACGAGGCCAAAGCAGACACGACCAUGUAGCUGAGCGGUCUCCAUAGCCCAUCCUUCGUUCUCAUGACUGUGCAGUAGUAGUUCCUGAUCUACCUUUAGGCCGAGAUUAGAGCUGGGCAAAAAAAUAGAAAGAGCAACUAAAUUGUUUUUACGACUAAGUACGUCAUAACUCUAUAGAACCAAAAUCAUGUGAUUUCUUGAAGAAAGAUUGGAUCAAUUUAUAAAUUCUAGUUCUCUUUUUAAAGCCCUUCUUUGUUCUUUGGGUUCUCUUUCUUAAGCUUGGUCGUGACAGGAUACUGGUCGACAAGUAAAUCGAGGAAUAUUGACUAGACAGGAACAUCCUUGCACUUUCUUGGUGAGGAAUAGAUGGAAGGAAGGUGAUCACAUAAUCUUGAUGGUAAAGAAUAACACAGCAGCAACUUUACUCUCACUAUGAAGAAAUACACAAUCAAAGCCUCUCGUAAGGGCAUUAAUAUAACCCCCUACAAUAAAUUACAAGCUAAUUUUGAGUCAUAGUAACGGUAUCAGGAGUCUCAAAACAAUUUACUCCUUUUGCGUCUUCGACCACGAGAACUUGUAGGGUUCUUGUUCGCAUUCAGAGGAUCAAUGUUUGCGUCAUUUGGUUGCUUACCUUGUUUGUACACCAAAUGUGCCCCGCAGCUUCUUAGAGUCCCCUCCGAUGCUUGGAACAGUAUUGUAAAUUCACUGCAGAGAUUCAGCAAUUUCGCAUCCAAUCCCCACAUCAUUCGCCGUGGAACGUAUAAGAGCCAUACAUGAUCAGACUCUAACGAGGAAAAACAAUCUACACCACCAUAAGUUUCUUGAUUGUUGACAAACAACUGGAUCUCACACAAAAUAUCAACUUCCUUCCGAUUAGGUGAACUGACAAUAGCACAAAAGGCCAAGCCUGCUAUGUCUCGGUAAGAUUCUGAAAGUACAGGAAACCUUAUGAGUCUUGUCGUGCUUUGAUGUUUAAACCACCUUGGGAUUU